rnacentral:lncRNA from 1 species
UAGAACCGGCAGCUGAUUUCAAGCAGUUACAGGCAGCCUGACGAUCCGGCGUGGUGGUGGCGGCAGCAAGAAGCUUCUUCACUCCUGCACAGCAUGGCGGUGGAGGACUGGCAUUAUUAGGAGCUUGAAGAUAAGUAAGGCAUGGAGCCAAAUCACCGGAUACAGUUCCACAUGACAAAGCAGCUUCUGCCAUAAGCUUGAAGAUAAGUAAGGCAUGGAGCCAAAUCACCGGAUACAGUUCCACAUGACAAAGCAGCUUCUGCCAUAGGCGCAAUAACUACCAUGCACAUCACCAAAGCAACACAUGCUAAUUUCAUGCUUCUUGCCAUUUUUGUUUUCUUUGUUUUCUAUUCUUUUUCUUAGUUUGUUUGAAUGGUGUGUAAUGUCUUUGUGGGAGGGGGUUUAUAUAGAAAAUAAGAUAAGGUGUGAAGAUGAAUAGAGUGAUGAAUUUUUGGUGAAUGUGCAUCAAAAUUGGGUGGUAGUUGUGAGUUCAAUUAAUGAUGUAUGGUCCAUUAUCUAUAAUUAUUGGAAUUGGAUCUCUACAAUUUUUUCUUCUCAUGUCUUCUCUCAUGUGCAAUUAUGCAUGGUUGAAUCAAUCUAAUAGUUAAAAAAUAAUAAAGAUAAAAAAAUAUCAUUUAAAAAAAUAGAGAAACAUAUGUUUAAUUUUAUUUAAUUUUUUUUCAUUUAUAAUUAGAGAAUACAAAAUAUCAUCGAAAAGACGACAACACUCAUAUAAUUUGUUGUUUCAUACGCUGUUUUUUUUUCAUUUUAAUAUCUUUAUUAAAUAAAUAUUUUUAUUUGAUAAUAAUUAAAAUAUUUAUAUAUAUAUAUANNNNNNNNNNNNNNNNNNNNNNNNNNNNNNNNNNNNNNNNNNNNNNNNNNNNNNNNNNNNNNNNNNNNNNNNNNNNNNNNNNNNNNNNNNNNNNNNNNNNNNNNNNNNNNNNNNNNNNNNNNNNNNNNNNNNNNNNNNNNNNNNNNNNNNNNNNNNNNNNNNNNNNNNNNNNNNNNNNNNNNNNNNNNNNNNNNNNNNNNNNNNNNNNNNNNNNNNNNNNNNNNNNNNNNNNNNNNNNNNNNNNNNNNNNNNNNNNNNNNNNNNNNNNNNNNNNNNNNNNNNNNNNNNNNNNNNNNNNNNNNNNNNNNNNNNNNNNNNNNNNNNNNNNNNNNNNNNNNNNNNNNNNNNNNNNNNNNNNNNNNNNNNNNNNNNNNNNNNNNNNNNNNNNNNNNNNNNNNNNNNNNNNNNNNNNNNNNNNNNNNNNNNNNNNNNNNNNNNNNNNNNNNNNNNNNNNNNNNNNNNNNNNNNNNNNNNNNNNNNNNNNNNNNNNNNNNNNNNNNNNNNNNNNNNNNNNNNNNNNNNNNNNNNNNNNNNNNNNNNNNNNNNNNNNNNNNNNNNNNNNNNNNNNNNNNNNNNNNNNNNNNNNNNNNNNNNNNNNNNNNNNNNNNNNNNNNNNNNNNNNNNNNNNNNNNNNNNNNNNNNNNNNNNNNNNNNNNNNNNNNNNNNNNNNNNNNNNNNNNNNNNNNNNNNNNNNNNNNNNNNNNNNNNNNNNNNNNNNNNNNNNNNNNNNNNNNNNNNNNNNNNNNNNNNNNNNNNNNNNNNNNNNNNNNNNNNNNNNNNNNNNNNNNNNNNNNNNNNNNNNNNNNNNNNNNNNNNNNNNNNNNNNNNNNNNNNNNNNNNNNNNNNNNNNNNNNNNNNNNNNNNNNNNNNNNNNNNNNNNNNNNNNNNNNNNNNNNNNNNNNNNNNNNNNNNNNNNNNNNNNNNNNNNNNNNNNNNNNNNNNNNNNNNNNNNNNNNNNNNNNNNNNNNNNNNNNNNNNNNNNNNNNNNNUUAAUUUUUAUGGGUUUAAAAAUAAAAAUCAAAUUUAUUUCAAUAUCCAACUGAUGAAAUUAACUAACGGUAUAAAAUUCUUUUACAUUGUUAGUGUAUAUCAAUUAAGAGUGUUUAAUUGUAUUGUUUUUGUUGAAUUUCAAUAGUUAUUUCAACCGAUGCUGAAGCUUCUCAAGAUACAAUGUUUGUGUGUAGAAGUUGAAAGGAAAAUUUGAUCAUUGGUGGAUUCCAUAACAUCCGUAAUGGGAUAUAUCAAUUCUCUUUGAGGUCGGAAGCUGAAGAUUGUUCAUUAUAUAUGAAAAUUGUGAGUUGCAAGUUUGGAAUAAAUGGCAAGUUUAAUCAUCCCAUUAGAUGGAAAAAUCAUGUUAUUUUUUGUUAUGUUGGUUUCAAUUAAAAUUUGCUUUUCAUGUAUAUCUCUUUAGAUAUGACAUUCUUAAAAUUCAUGAUUUAAACUAUAUUUAUACUUACGAUAAUAACAGUUCCAUUCUGGUUGAACUGUUUGUGCCUCAGUUUAAUUUUGCAGUUCAAUGAGUUCAAUGACUUCCUUAACAACACUCUUGAUUUUAAAGAUAAUGUCAAAGAUAGAGGGAUGCUAUGGUGGACUAAGUUUAAAACUUUUAAAGAAAAUAGCAGAAAUUGAUUAUUUUCCAUGUAAUAAUAAAACAAAAUAUUUAAAAUAUUUUUUAGUUUAUGUGAUUAAUAUAGAUUUUUAUUUAUAUUUUAUUUAUUUAUAAACCUAUCAUUAUUAAAAAUUAUUAUACAUUAUUGAGUAAUCACAAUACUAUUUAUUAAGAGUUAUUAAGAAUCAUUAUUUUUUAUAAUUAUAUUUUUUAAUCUCUUAAUAAUACUAUUUUUUUAGACUAAUGUUAAUAUAUGCCCCAAAAACAUAAGUUAAUGACUUAUUUGUAAAAAUAUUCUCUUAGAAUACGUGCAUUUAAUUUUUUAAAAUUUAAAAUAUUAUUUUAUUUCACAUAAAUUUUUUAUUUGUAGUAUCCUUAACUUAUACCUGAAAGACACAAGUUAGCAAGACCCUAUUUUUUAAUUAUUAUAUAAUUAAUCUUAAUAAAUCUACUAUCAUAAUCAGAUAGUAGAUGACCACCAAUAAAUUAAAUCCAAACUUAAACUAAGUUAAUUGUAAGUUCCACUUACUUUAAUUGUUUUGUUUUUUUCAUUUAUAAAUAUUUUCAUUUACCAAUGCUUAUUAAAUGAAAAUAAUUUAAUUAAAUAUCUUAUUUAAUUGAAACAAUUCAAAUAUUAAAUAUAAAUAUAUUCACACAACUAAUUGCAAUAAUAACAUCUUCUAAUAAACACAAAUAUACAUGUUUUUACAUUUUCCCAAUGACUUAUGUUUGUUCUUUUAUCAUAACCUUUCCUUUUACCAAAUGCAAUAAAUGACCAUUGAUUAUGAGUGAGCAUCUUGAAAACAGUUCCCUCAAUAAACUUCUCCCUAUCCAAUAAAUCCUACGAAUAACAAGUAAUUUAAAAUGUUAAAAGUAUUUUUCUUUGCUUAUUAUUAACAAAUUCAUUAUUAUUAAUUAAUUAUAUUUUAACACGAUACUAUUUUAUUUUUAUCACAAGUUAUCUCUUUUAAUCACCAAUUAUCUCUUUUAUUUUCAAAUGUCAAAAUUUAUUUUCACGGGUCACUAUCAACACAAUACUAUUUUAUUUUAAUCUCAAAAUUUUAUGUAAUAACAAUUACAAAUGAAAGUUCAAAGUUAUGCUCAAGAUAUUGUAAUGGGUUGUUGUACACCUUCUUUCAAAUCUUCAACCUUCUUUUAUAGAGGUAUAAAAAGAGUUGUUUGGGGGGUUUGAACAUAAGAGAGCAAAUUCAGUGAAGAAACAUGCCAAGAGAGACGUUGGAGAAUGUAUAUGGUUAGAAGAAUUUUCCACUAAAUAAUGGAACUAUUCACAACACCUUUUGAAGUACUGGGUAUCUACCAAAAUGUAGAACAAACUAAAGAGGUUACAUCACCAUUCCUUGAGUCUUGUAAAAUGAAACCCUAGUUUACACUGUCUAGAAAUCUGGGCUUUGACACGACUAGUCUGCUUUGGUACAAUGUACGCAUCAGAGGCUUUUCAAGUCUUCAGAGUCUGAGCUGUCAGCAAAGGAUGGGACACAUGACCAAAGUCUAAACCUUCAGAGACUGAUCAACACACUAAGAGUUAUUAGAUUUUGAUCAAUCGAAAUCAGAGUUAUAUUGCUUCUCCACAUAUGCUUUCAACAUGAUUAAUUUAGAAUGAAUUCUUUGUUUGUGAUCCUGCACACUUGAACAUAUGUUAGUAUAUUCAUUUGUUCCUUAAAAACUUUGUUAUCAUCAAAAUCCAAGGGAUAUUAACAUUCUUGUUCCAACAAUCUCCCCAUUUUUGAUAAUGACAAACUAAUGUAUUUAAGAACAAUGGUGGUCAAUUUAACUAACUUGACAACAUCAGAGUUUAAGGUUUGUAAGCUCCCCUUGAGUCUAAUAGCCCAUAGGUUAAGUUUUGUAAGCUCCCCCUAAGUCAUAUCCAAGUUAAUUUAAAAUUAUUUUAAUAAAAUAAUGUUCAAAUCAAAUCAAUAUCCAAAUAAAUAAGGGUCAGGUAAAUUAAAAGCAUUUCGAAAAAAAUAACUUUAAUCCUUUUAAAUAUUCCCAUAAAUUUCUCCCCAUUUUUUCAUCAACAAAAUGUGAGAACAUACAUGUGAGUAUAGAAGAAAACAAAAAAAUAUUUUAGGAAUGGAAAAAUAUGUGGUAAAAAUUGAAUUCUGAUAACACAUAGCAAGAACAACCUUUGCUCUUCUCAAUAAAGAGAAACAACUAUAAUGGUUAGAAUAUUUCUGCAUUUCUCAAGAUGGUCACACGUCAUUCAAGAAUAUCAACCAUCAGAAGUAACCAUUGCAGGCAUUAAAUCAUCUGAAGUUUCAUCUUCCAAUUACAACAUACAAGUCACUCAACCUCUUCUAUAAAAGCAUACCUUCAUAGACAUACUUCUCAUUUUUUCAACCAAUUAUUCUUAUCUUCAUAACAACAUGAUUUAUCCAUCAGAGAAGACUAAGAGCAUUAUCUGAAUAAAGAUCAAUGAUGAGGGUAAAAUUGUUACUAUGGAACAACACCUUUAGCAGUCCACUGAGGAGGCCUAGCCAUCUAGGUCAGCUGCUAAAAGGGGUGCCCUAAUGUAAUACCUCAAAAUUUGUCCCCCUCAUUCAUGCAUUCAUUUUUAGAUCAUUUAACAUUUCAUAUUGCAUUGCAUCGUAUCAAUCAGAAUCAGAUCCAAGAAGUUUGAAUAUCAUCCGAGACACUUUGUGGGUUCUAAUUGGGUGAUCAGUCAACACAAGGGAAUGACUUGAGUUACUUCCAACAUGUUCAAAUGGAGUCUAUUCACCAUUCAAAACACUAAUCUCGAAGGAGCAAAAAGCAGAGCCUGAACUGUCAUGCUCGCUAGGCGAGCAGAUCCUUCGCUAGGCGAAGUGCACGCGUUUUGAAAUAUAACAGAAACGUUUUGGGCUUGAGUUGCCUUCAUUUUGAGCCCACAAAGUCACAAAAAUUAGGCUAUAUAUUCUAGACUUCCAUAUCCCAAAAGGACACCGGAGAGAAUUAGAAAAAACCCUGGAAAAGAAUAGUGAGAGAAGAGCUAACAGAGUUCAGAGCAGCCCCAGAGACUGAAAGGAACUCAUCUGCAAAGAGCCAAUUCCAUCUCAUAUAAACCCUCAGAUUACUUUGCAAACCCAACCGGGCAAUUCAAUUUCAUUCGAUCCCUCCAAUCAGGUUUGCCCUAUUUCCAUUACUAUAUGCUUUCAAUUUGAAUGCUCUGAAUGUAUGAGGUAUUAUCGUUAGACUUUGCCCACGGGUUUAAAUAUGCAUGAAUGUGUAAACAAUACCUUGAAUGUUUAAUCGUUUCGUUUCUGAUGGAUACCAUAGGGUUUGGGUUGCCGAGAUCGAACUAUUAUCAAUGAAGAACCCAAAACCCGCAGGCGUUCGCUAGCACCUUCGCUAAGCCUUCGCUAGGCGAAGCAGUAGCGAGCGUGACAACAUUUGUUUUUUUUUCUGUUUUCUCUAAUCCGUUUUGUGUUCGUCAUGGCAUGUUUUCUCCUGAUUACCCCAUCGUGUUUCUCUAACCUGUUUGUUGAGUUUUUGUGAGGGCUCACAUGCUCUUGCAGGGAUAGCUUGCUUGGUAUUCCACUUUAUUUGUGGGAUACCACUUGGAGGUUUAUUCCGAUUACCUAUGCUGACUUGCUUUCUUUGAUGGUGCCAGCUUGAGAGAUCUCCGGGUUUCUUGUCUCUUUAGUUGCUGUUACUUCGGAUCUUUAUCCGUGUGGUACUUUUACAUCUUUCCCGCAUUUUACCGCUUUCUUAGCUGGAAGACCUCAAUAGGAGGNUCCCUGCAAUUCAGAGUUUGCCUCAUUUCCAUCUACUAUAUGCUUUCAAUUUGAAUCUCAUGAACUGUUCAUGCUUAUUGUAUUAUUCGUUAGACUUUGCCCACCGGUUAAAUAUGCAUGAAUAUGUUAAACAAUACCUUGAAUGUUAAUCGUUUCGUUUCUGCAUGGGAUAUCACAUAGCGGUUUGGGUUGCCGAGAUCGAACUAUUUAUCAAUGAAAGUGAACCCAAACGCCGACAGGCGUUCGCUAGCACCUUCGCCUAAGCCCUUCGCUAGGCGAAGCGCAAGCGUAGCCGAGCGCUGACAACAUGCUUUGUUUUUUUUCUGUUAUUCUCUAAUCCGUUUAGUGUUUCGUUCAUGGAUGUUUCUUUGCCCUGUCAAUCCUAAACCCCAUCGCCUGUUUCUCUUAAUCCUUGUAUGUUCGAUUUUAGUGGUCUCUCGAGGAAUGCGACAUGUGUUCAUAUGCAGGCAAUGCGAAAUUUAGUCAUUGCCUUUGGCUAUAUCAUUUAUUUGUGGGCAUUACUACUUGUGACUGUUCUACCUCAAAAACGGCAUUACCUGAUUGUCCUACAAUGACCUUGCUUUCUUUUUAUAGCGACUGCAAAGCCUUUGCACGAGAUGCGUCCGGACGUAAUUGCUUAGAGUGUUCUUCCUCUUUUAGUUGCCUGUUAUACGUCGGUAUCUUUGAUGCCGAUGUCGAUUUACUUUUACAUUCUUUCCCGAUUUUACGUCUUGUCCUUAACUGAGGAAAGUGACGCCUCCAAUAGAGCAAUAAUUUCUUAUUUUUUUGUUUUGCUUAUCCUCCUUAUGUGCAACAUAAGAUCUGCCAUGCCAGAAUUGCGAAAGUGGGACGUAUACAAUAUAGUGAAGGAUUAUUAAUCAUCCCCCGUUAUCUCAGCCUUGUGUCGCUUUUUCUAUUUAGAAUGCUUCAGACAACUACGUGUCGAUGCUCAGAACAAAAGCCCAAGAUUUUGUUCUAACAAUCCGGGUUACUUAGGCUCAGUCGUGGAUGUAGUGUCUGGCUUUCCCAACUGUUCUGAAUCCCCGAACACCUUUAUAGUCAUGCAGCUCACCGUAUCGCUCUAUGUUAAGAGCUAUGAGGUCUUAUGCUCACUUACACCGUUUUGAAUCUGCUCCCUAGACGUUCGCAAUGUCAGGUGGUUCAGAACGGCCAUUUGAUGUACUAUUCCAUGGCUGUUGCGAGGUUGAUAUGACCCGUUUUCGCUAGGAUCUAAUAGCCACUAUACCUCAUGUACUCGUUUCCUCUGUGGCCCGGUGUUGGCGUUGUCUUGAUUGCCAUAUUUUUUGGGCAUGGUGUGAUCGUCUUCCCCAUUAUGGAUUUGCUAGGGCUUCGAUUAGUGAUGGCUUCUCGUUGCGGCCCAUGUCAAUUUAUACAUGUGAGUAAGGAAUUCACCACCUGUUCCAUUGUUCUUAGGACCUUCUCCUUUAUUAUGUCACAUGAAGCAUUCCUACACUAGACUCCAACAAACAGACAAAGGCUCAUUUGAUAUUUCCCAUUAUUAUCCUACCUUAUAAGAACACUCAUUGUAGUAAUAUCCUUCUAUACUAGCAGGAUGACGAAGUAUAGCUUUCUCAAAGGUCGGAACGACACACCGGUUAGUAAAUCUUGACGUUAGUAAUGUCUCGUGUCUUGUCCAUUCUCAAAAAAACACUAAAGCCCACUUACCCGUAGUAGGGUGUCUGACCGAACUACGGCUUGCUCUGAUUCUCAUUCCAUGAGGCUCGAGAUACGUAGGCAUAAGAACGCGAUGGUGUCUUUAGCGAGCUUCACUUAACCCACUAGGUAAGCCAGCUUACGAAGACUCUGAUUGCUCAUGUUCAGAUGCAGCCAUACGAUGCGCAGUGUAUGCGACAUCCAAGUUGUCGCAUCGAUUAUAUUCAUAAUUGCCCCCCUUUUUAGUAAAUAGUUAACAUUACGAUAACCUACACUCUUUAGACAAGAACAACAAAGUGGAUCCUUAGGAUACUCGCGCCGGUCCAGGGGUGCUAAAUAUCCGUUCCUUAACGCAUAGAUCGAGCUCGCCGGAAACCCAAGAUUGAAGGUUGACGCGAGACAACCUUGUCUUUUCUGUUUGCUUCUUGUUCUAGGUUCAUUACACUCUUGAGUCGUCUUUUCCUCCUUUGAGUAUGAAAAUAACGACUUCCUUAGAGGUGUGCGCACAUACUUCUGUUCAUCAUCUUUACGUACGCCGGUUGAUAUUUUUUUCUGACCAUUUCUACCUUCUUCUUAUUCACAGUUGCGACGUAGGCGUGGCAGAUAAUUCGCGCUUGAGGGGACUACUCUUCCCUAGGAAGAAUCCCGGCUUCCUAGUCGUUUUGUUUGAUCGUGGGGUUUUUUUUUUUAUUAUCUAUUUCAUAUUAUCAUAAUUCUUUAUCAAUGUUAUGGUCAACCAAAGCUAAUCCAUAAAAAAUGUUUUUUUUGGGGGCGGACCGGGAAGGAGUGGGGGGGGGUCAGGCGUCAGGAGGGGGCGGGCGGGGGUGGGGCGACACUACGCCCGGGGCGCUGUGUUCCUAAUAAUUUGGUUUUUUGUUCGCCCACCGCCCCAGUUGGCUCGGUGUUAUUUAUUUAUGCUUUGCAUACUUAUCUGGUGUGUUGCAUCCUAUUGCGCUUUUACUGUCGUGUGUAGUGUGCUGGCUGUGUUUGUGUGUUGUCCCUGUCGGUGUUGGGGUCACAGAGGCUAAAGGCCCAAUACACAGGCCUAUCAGGGACUUUAGGACAUCUAGGAUAGAGUGAUACAUGGGAACGCGGAGUUAUGGCCGCCAAGCGCGAACAUGGUAUCAAGCAGCCAGUUCAAAUUCUGAUGGGUUUAUCGUUGCAUACCACCUGGGUAUGCAUAUGUCAGUAUUCUUGAAAGGAUUGUUUAUCCUACGUUCUCUUGACUCUUACCCUGCGCCUAGAUUACACCCGUGAGUGGGGCGGGAUGAAUCAUUUUACAGGUACUGAUGGGACUUGUUCUGUUGGUGCCGUCUCGCUGAUAGUGAUUUUGUGUGGGUCCUUGUGGUGACCGUUACGCUUCUCGAAGUAUGGGUUGCUAAAUUGAAUGACUGUGUUCUUGUUCCCGGUUCGAAUCAUGCUGAAGUUCUGAUCUGUGCCUCGUGAUAUACAACCAACCGUUUUCUGGAGCCAAAGUUUUGAUCUACGUAGUACAUUCUUCAGUGGGUUUCUCUUCAGACAGUGCAACCCAACAGAUAUUCAAGCAGAUACAACAACCUUGAUUUGCAUGUCACUGCAUUGCAUCACAUCAUUCGCAUUCAUAUCAUUCACACAUGUUUAUCCAUUUAUGUGGGGUUUAUAUCCUCUUCUUGAUUCUAGUCGGGGUUUUUCUGGUACUUUUUAAAAGGGAUAUUUUAUCUGAUGAAAGACUGGAAUCAAGGGGGUAGAAUACCUGUGGAACUGAUAAACAUGUCAUUGCAUUUGCAUAUUCAUUAGCAUGUCUUGCAUAACAGGUACCGUCGCAGUGUUCUCAGUUUGUUAGGUAUUCCACUGGUAGGAUAGUUGACUUAGGCAUUCACUGAUACGGUACCCGAAGGAAUCAACGAUGAAGAUGGGGAUAGUGAUUGCGACAUCGAUAACUGGUUGCGUCUGAGGAUCCCGGGUGAAGUUCUCCGCAACUGGUCUUCUGAAGAGAUUAUCCAAGUCACUCUUCUUGAAGAGUAAUUUUCUUUGUUUAUUCAUGCAUAUCCAAGUCUUACGUUCCGCCCAGAGCGUAAUGACUCAUUGUAGGGCUCAUCUAUGCGAAUACCUGCAUUUUUUAUCAUCAAUAAAGGACGUCUUUUUGCAUUCAAAUAUUUCGUUCACUGUUUUCCAUUUUUGCAGUUUUCAAAAAUCAAAAAAUAUUUGGCAAUGUUUUGUUUAGUUUUCAUUUUUUCACACUCAUAAGCACAUACCAUCACUCAUGCAGAUGCGCAUCACCGGAUCCUAUUGAUAACGAUUCUGCUAUGGCUCGCUUCGACUUUGAAAAUCCAAUCUUUCAAGCUGAAGAAGGGGGUGAUGAAGACUGUGAACUCCCUGAAGAACUUACCAGGCUAUUAAAACAGGAAGAAAGGGUCAUUCAACCGCAUCAAGAGUCUGUGGAAGUGAUUAAUCUCGACACCGAGGACGUCAAGAGAGAAAUCAAGAUAGGGGCGUCUUUGGAAGAUAAUGUGAAGAAGGGGUUGAUUGAAUUGCUGCAAGAGUAUGUUGACAUCUUUGCUUGGUCUUAUCAGGACAUGCCAGGGCUUGACAUAGAUAUUGUGGUACACCGUUUGCCUCUCAAAGAAGGUUGUCCUCCGGUCAAGCAGAAGCUAAGAAGAACAAGACCAGAGAUGGCUGUCAAGAUAAAGGAAGAAGUGCAGAAACAGUUGGAUGCAGGGUUCCUAGAAAUGCAAACAUUGUUCUAGUACCUAAGAAGGAUGGAAAGGUACGGAUGUGUGUCGACUACCGGGAUCUGAACAGAGCUAGCCCUAAAGAUGAUUUCCCAUUACCUCACAUCGAUGUUUUGAUAAAGAACACAACUCAGUUCUCGGUAUUCUCCUUCAUGGAUGGCUUUUCUGGCUAUAAUCAAAUUAAGAUGGCACCAGAAGACAUGGAGAAGACAACUUUCAUAACCCCAUGGGGCACCUUCUGCUACAAGGUGAUGCCGUUUGGUCUGAAAAAUGCCGGAGCAACAUAUCAGCGAGCGAUGGUGACUCUGUUCCAUGAUAUGAUUCAUCAUGAAAUCGAGGUUUAUGUGGACGAUAUGAUUGCCAAAUCUCAGACAGAAGAAGAACAUUUGGUGAAUUUGCAGAAACUGUUUGAGCGUUUGAGGAAAUUCAAACUGAGACUUAAUCCGAACAAGUGCACUUUCGGGGUGAGAUCGGGAAAAUUGUUGGGUUUUAUUGUUAGCGGAAAAGGGAUUGAGGUGGAUCCUGACAAAGUGAAAGCAAUACAGGAAAUGCCUGAGCCAAGAACAGAGAAGCAAGUCCGUAGUUUCUUAGGGAGGUUGAACUACAUUGCAAGGUUCAUCUCUCACCUAACAGCCACGUGUGAGCCAAUAUUCAAAUUGUUGAGAAAAGAUCAGGCUAUCAGGUGGAAUGAUGAUUGUCAAAGGGCGUUCGAGAAGAUAAAAGAGUAUUUGCAGAAUCCUCCUAUCCUUGUGCCUCCGGUCCCAGGGAGACCGCUGAUUAUGUAUUUGACAGUACUAGACAAUUCCAUGGGUUGUGUUCUCGGUCAACACGACGAGACAGGUAGGAAAGAGCAUGCCAUCUACUACCUGAGUAAGAAAUUCACAGAUUGCGAGUCGAGAUACUCAAUGCUUGAAAAAACAUGUUGUGCACUUGCAUGGGCUGCUAAGCGAUUGAGACAAUACAUGCUGUCUCACACAACCUUACUGAUCUCCAAGAUGGAUCCAGUCAAGUAUAUAUUUGAGAAGCCAGCUCUCACCGGAAGAGUUGCUCGUUGGCAAAUGGUACUGACAGAGUACGACAUCCAGUAUACAUCCCAGAAAGCCAUCAAGGGGAGUAUUCUGUCAGACUAUCUUGCUCAACAGCCGGUUGAAGAUUAUGAGCCGAUGAAGUUUGAUUUUCCAGAUGAAGACAUCAUGUUCCUCAAGAUGAAAGACUGUGAAGAGCCAGUUGUUGAGGAGGGACCUGAUCCAGACGAAAAGUGGACUUUAAUGUUUGAUGGGGCCGUCAAUGCCAAAGGAAGUGGAAUUGGUGUUGUCAUUACCACUCCGAAAGGUGCCCACAUGCCUUUCACCGCUCGUCUGACUUUUGAGUGCACCAAUAAUGAAGCUGAGUAUGAAGCCUGUAUCUUGGGUAUUGAGCAAGCCAUUGAUUUGAGAAUCAAGACUUUGGACAUCUUCGGAGAUUCAGCUCUGGUAAUCAAUCAAGUGAAUGGUGAUUGGAACACUCUCCAGCCUACUCUGGUCCCCUACAGAGAUUACACGAGAAGACUGUUGACUUUCUUCACAACAGUAAAGCUGUACCAUAUACCUCGUGAUGAGAACCAGAUGGCAGAUGCUCUUGCUACUCUAUCCUCCAUGAUCAAGGUGAUCCGUUGGAACCAUGCUCCCAAGAUCGACGUGAUGCGCCUUGAUAGGGCCGCGUAUGUGUUUGCUGCUGAACUGGUAGUUGAUGACAAGCCCUGGUAUCACGACAUCAAGUGCUUUCUGAAGAAUCAAGAGUACCCUGCAGGGGCAUCCAACAAUGAUAGAAAGACUUUGAGAAGAUUGGCAGGCAGUUUCUUCUUGAACAAAGACGAUGUGCUGUAUAAGAGGAACUUCGACAUGGUUUUGCUCAGAUGCGUGGACAGACACGAAGCAGACAUGUUAAUGCAGGAAGUUCAUGAAGGCUCCUUCGGUACUCAUGCCGGCGGACAUGCAAUGGCUAAGAAAUUGUUGAGAGCGGGAUAUUACUGGAUGAUCAUGGAAUCUGAUUGUUUCAAAUAUGCUCGGAAGUGCCAUAAAUGCCAGAUUUAUGCUGAUAAGGUACAUGUGCCGCCAAAUCCUUUGAAUGUGAUGUUUUCGCCGUGGCCUUUUGCUAUGUGGGGCAUCGAUAUGAUUGAAAAGAUUGAGCCGACCGCCUCCAAUGGGCACCGCUUCAUCCUUGUUGCCAUCGACUAUUUCACCAAGUGGGUCGAAGCAGCAUCAUUCGCGAAUGUCACCAGACAUGUGGUCGCCCGAUUCAUCAAGAAAGAAAUCAUUUGUCGCUUUGGGAUUCCCGAAAGAACCAUUACUGAUAAUGGUUAUAAUCUCAACAACAAAAUGAUGAAGGAGUUGUGCCAGAACUUCAACAUUCGGCAUCACAAUUCUUCCCCUUACCGCCCUAAGAUGAACGAUGUUGUUGAGGCGGCAAAUAAGAACAUAAAGAAGAUCGUGUAGAAGAUGGUCGUUACAUACAGAGAUUGGCAUGAGAUGCUACCCUUCGCCUUGCAUGGGUACCGUACUUCAGUACGUACGUCGACCGGGGAAACCCCUUACUCCCUCGUGUAUGGUAUGGAAGCAAUCCUACCUGUUGAAGUGGAGAUUCCUUCUCUAAGAGUCCUGUUGGAUGUCAAGUUGGACGAAGUUGAAUGGAUUCGAACAAGGUUCAAUAAGUUGAGUCUUAUCAAAGAGAAGCGAAUGGCAGCCAUUUGUCAUGGGCAGUUGUAUCAGAGUCGGAUGAAGAGAGCCUUUGAUCGAAAAGUGCAUCCUCGGUGUUUACAAGUUGGAGAGUUAGUGUUGAAAAUGAUCCUUCCUCCUCAAACAGAUCACAGGGGCAAGUGGACUCCUAACUAUGAUGGACCGUAUAUUGUCACCAAGAUUUUUGAUGGUGGAGCCUUAAUGCUUGCAACGAUGGAUGGUGAAAACUUCACUUCCCCUGUGAACUCAGACGCAGUUAAAAAAUACUUCGCAUAAAAUAGACCCGCUGGACAGUAAAAAGAAUAGUCCAGGCAAAAAAUGGGCACCGAGAACAAGAAAUGAAAAGUUCGAGCAAAAUUAGGGAUUAAAAUAAAAGAUCGACACCGGUAAGUGAAAACCUGAAAAGGCACUUAGGCAAAGUACCGGUGGAUUGAAAACCCGAAAGGGAUCAGCAAAAGUUAGGGAUUAAGAAUGACUGCGUUCUGAGUAGUUUCUGAAAUCUCAUCUCGUGAAUGACUGAACUUUUGAGGAUAGGAAACAUAAUAUCUUUUAUAAGCUGAUAUAUUGAGAUCUUGAAGCGACAAGUAUAGCUAGAUGGAACCCAUAGAAUCAUUUACAUUGAUUAGAUUAAUUUUGUUUUAUCUUUUGUCGAUACUUUCAGGGAUGGCAUUCUGAUUAAAUGCUAUUUAGAGCGCAGUCAAUCAAUAAAUCAUGUCAUUCAGUACAUACUGUGUCCAUUUUCAUUUUAUGUUUCUGUUGUGCCAAAAAUGACGUGAAUUUUGAUAACUAUUGCAUACAUGAAACAUAAGAGCUUAAGGUACAGAUGCUUAAUAGAACAUUUAAAUUUCUGUAAAUUCUAAAGUGCUUCGGAAUAUCUAUACAUCAACUCGGGGCAUUACUUAGUUCCAUCGAUGAUGCGACAGUUUUCCCCUAACAGUCGAAGUUGGUAUUUGCCCUGCAGAAUGAUCAGAGCAUUGGAUUCUUCGAUCCCCAAGGGCCUCACUGUUGUACCUCCCCCAAGCGGUUGUUCAGAAUAUACAUCCCAGUAGUUUGACGGUGCCCAGAAUAUAUAUCCCCAGCGAUUGAACAGUGCCAGACUGUAUCUUGCACGAGAGCGGCUGUCCUGCAGGGUUCGAUGCCAGAUCGAUGAUCUCGACGCCAGAUCCAUGGUCUCUUUUCUUGAAGCAGAAUCUCGGUACCGUAUCGGUGUUGCUCCCCUGCUAAGGGUUCUCUCUCGGCAAUUAUUGGUUUGCCAGAACAUUACGCUUCCCCAACAGCAGGUUUUCAGUGCCCGUUCUCUCCUAGUUCAGAGUCUUGGUAUUCACAUUGCUAGAACUACUGUGUGGCGGAUAUUUCCAAGAGUUCUUGUGCUAGCAUCUCCAACAGCGCUCUGUCAGGGCAGGAAGUGGUGAUCAUUUCCCCGCAGAUUCCCUUGCUCAGCUUGGCAUUCUACAAGUAUUUACCAUCCUUGCAUGUAGAUCAAAUUGCAUUUUGCAUCUCCCAAAUCGGUAGAUUUCAUUUUCCAUGGAGCAUUACGCCAUUUGAGAAAAAUUCAAAACGCAUGUAAGCAUAAAACAUUCGUAUGCCCAAGUGAUAAGCCAGAAGUUGUUUCCAGUACUCAGACUGAAGAUUGUUCAUGACUUACCUUUAUUAUCCCCAGCAAGUGUCAUUGGCCCAUGCGCCGCCUCUAUUAUCUUUCCCUAUUUAUGCCGAUGCCGACAGGCAUGAAGUUUCCGAUAUUCAGACCGAAGUGGCGUUCAGGCCAAGUUUCCGGUAUUCAGACCGAAGUGACGUUCAAGCCAGUUUUCCGAUAUUCAGAUCGAAGAAGUUUCUGACGUUCAGGCCAGUUUUCCGAUGUUCAGAUCGAAAAAGUUUCCGACGUUCAAGUCGAUGCAACUUGUGGCAUUCAGGCCAAUUUUCCGAUAUUCAGAUCGAAGUGGCAUUCAGGCCAAUUUUCCGAUAUUCAGAUCGAAGUGGCAUUCAGGCCAAUUUUCCGAUAUUUAGAUCGAAGUGGCAUUCAGGCCAGUUUUCCGAUGUUCAGAUCGAAGCUGUUUCCGACAUUCAGGUCGACGCAACUUGUGGCAUUCAGGCCAGCCUCUCGGUGUUCAGACCGAUAUUAUCAACCUCAUAUCUUCCAAUGUUCAGAUCAAAGUCAUUUCCAGUAUUCAGACUGAUGAGCGGCAUUCAAGCCAUGGUUAUUUCUGUGUUACCAUUUAUUUUGGUAUCCAGGUUAACAUUCUUUUUCGGUAUUCAGACUGACUCUCCACCGUUACCAGACGGAUUCUUCUUUCAAGACCACCUCUUUGCGAUUCUGACAGGCAUUGUUACUUCACUUCACUUCAGUGCAAAUUUUCGGGCUUUUAUUGUAUUCAAUCCCUUGAUACCUCGAAAGUGCGAAAGCCGCUGCUAUCUUCUUUUCGGGUCUCCAGUUGAUUGAAUAGGGGCAACUGUAAUACCUCAAAAUUUGCCCCCCUCAUUCAUGCAUUCAUUUUUAGAUCAUUUAACAUUUCAUAUUGCAUUGCAUCGUAUCAAUCAGAAUCAGAUCCAAGAAGCUUGAAUAUCAUCCGAGACACUUUGUGGGUUCUAAUUGGGUGAUCAGUCAACACAAGGGAAUGACUUGAGUUACUUCCAACAUGUUCAAAUGGGGUCUAUUCACCAUUCAAAAUGCUAAUCUCGAAGGAGCAAAAAGCAGAGCCUGAGCUAUCAUGCUCGCUAGGCGAGCAGCAUGGUUCGCUAAGCGAAGCUGAACUGUCAUGCUCGCUAGGCGAGCAGAUCCUUCGCUAGGCGAAGUGCACGCGUUUUGAAAUAUAACAGAAAAGUUUUGGGCUUGAGUUGCCUUCAUUUUGAGCCCACAAAGUCACAAAAAUUAGGCUAUAUAUUCUAGACUUCCAUAUCCCAAAAGGACACCGGAGAGAAUUAGAAAAAACCCUGGAAAAGAAUAGUGAGAGAAGAGCUAACAGAGUUUAGAGCAGCCCCAGAGACUGAAAGAAACUCAUCUGCAAAGAGCCAAUUCCAUCUCAUAUAAACCCUCAGAUUACUUUGCAAACCCAACCGGGCAAUUUAAUUUCAUUCGAUCCCUCCGAUCAGGUUUGCCCUAUUUCCAUUACUAUAUGCUUUCAAUUUGAAUGCUCUGAAUGUAUAAGGUAUUAUCGUUAGACUUUGCCCACGGGUUUAGAUAUGCAUGAAUAUGUAAACAUUACCUUGAAUGUUUAAUCGUUUCGUUUCUGAGGGAUAUCAUAGGGUUUGGGUUGCCGAGAUCGAACUGUUAUCAAUGAAGAACCCAAAACCCGCAGGCGUUCGCUAGCACCUUCGCUAGGAGAGCCUGCAGCGAAGCUUCGCUAAGCCUUCGCUAGGCGAAGCAGUAGUGAGCGUGACAGCAUUUUUUUUGUUUUUUGUUUGCUCUAAUCUGUUUUGUGUUCGUCAUGGCAUGUUUUCUCCUGAUUACCCCAUCGUGUUUCUCUAACCUGUUUGUUGAGUUUUUGUGAGGGCUCACAUGCUCUUGCAGGGAUAGCUUGCUUGGUAUUCCACUUUAUUUGUGGGAUACCACUUGGAGGUUUAUUCCGAUUACCUGUGCUGACUUGCUUUCUUUGAUGGUGCCAGCUUGAGAGAUCUCCGGGUUUCUUGUCUCUUUAGUCGCUGUUACUUCGGAUCUUUAUCCGUAUGGUACUUUUACAUCUUUCCCACAUUUUACCGCUUUCUUAGCUGGAAGACCUCAAUAGGAGGCAAUGUUUUCUUUUGUUUGUUUACUUUUGUGCCCAAAGACCUCCAUGCAGAGGAAAUUGACGGAUAAAAGGGAUUAUUAAUCAUUCCCCCGUUAUUCAGUGUGUCGUUCUUUAUGCUCACACUACGUGUCGACGCUUCAGAACAAAAGCCCAAGAUCUUUUGUCCGGUCAGUCAGUGGAUAGGGUUCCACCUUUCUGAAUCCCCACUUUUUGUCAUGAGCUCACCCUGUCCAGGGUUAAGAGCUAUGAGGUCUUAUCCUCAUUAUCCUUUUGAUCUGCUCACCCUGACGUUCAACGUCAGUGGUUAAGAGCCCAUUUGAUUACCUAUUCCAUGGCUUGUUUGUCGAGGUUGAUACGACCCCUCUUGACUAAAGCCCUACCCAUGUAUGUUUGAGCCCCCUUGUUGGCGUGUUUGCUUUAUGCAUAUUUAUUUUGUAUGGUGUGAUCGUCUCCCGAUAGGAUUGCUUGGCUUUGUAUAGUCUCUCGUUGCAUGUUAAUUAAGGUAGCAUUGUUCCUUCGUUUAUGACUUCCUUUUUGCAUGAGCAUUCCUAAAACACAAACAAACUCAUUGAUUUUUCUUCUCCUAAGAACACGUUAACUCCUUCUACUACAGGCGAGUAAGUAUCCAAAGGUCGAGCAUCCGGUAGAUUGCAUAGUAACGUCGUUCAUCUAAAAAACACAAUCCUUAACCCGUAGGUAGCCGAACUACGGCUUGCUCUGAUUCUCAUUCCAGAUGAGAUACGUAGGCAUAAGACGCGAUGUCUUAGCGAGCACACUCCUCUUUAACCCAUAGGUAGAGCUACGAAGACUCUGAUUCUCAUGUUCAGAUGAGAUACGUAUGCAGUGGAUGCGACAUCCGUGCGAGUCAUUUUCUUUUGACCCCCCUUUUAGUAAAUAGUACAUUAGAUAAACCUACACCCUUUAGACAAGAACAACAAAAGUGGAUCCCGUAGAGUACUAUGGAUGCGUAGGGGUGCUAAUACCUUCCCUUCCCAUAAUCGGCUCCCGAACCCAAGAUUUGGUUGCGAGACCUUGUCUUUUCCUUUCCUCUUUUCAGGUUUACUUCGAGCAUUUCCUUUCCCUCCUUUGGGAUAAAUAACCCACGGUGGCGACUCUUCUGUCAUCUCUUUUCUCGUCGGUUGUUUUUUUCGCAUUCCUUUUUUCAGGUUGCGACACCUAAGAGUAAGGAAGCCUGAGAAGAAGAAGAAGAAGAAGAUGAAGAAGAAAAAGAAAAGAGUUCCAAGAAGGAUGUUUUUCUACGACUCAGAUGAAGGAAGUGAGGAGCGUGUUGCUGACUAGGAGGAUUCUUUUGUAGCUAGGGAUUAUUGUUCUGAUCUGGACAAACUUAUGUAACCUCAAAAAUAUUGUACUCUUUCCAAAUGAUUAAUGGAAAAAAUUCCCUUUUUGCAAUGAUUUUUCUAAUUAAUUGUUUCAUUUGAAUGCGUUAAUCGUUCAAGAGAUAUUCAAAAAUAAUUAAUCCAAAGAAUAAUACAAAGAAAGCAAGGAUUAUUUCUAACAAUUAUCAGAUAAGGAAUAAUAUUUCCCAUAAAAUAUAGCUUAGAGAAAAUCACAUAAGCAUAAAAAAUAUAUCAUGUUGUCAUACCCUAAUUUUUAACCCUAAGAUCCCACAUAUCAUUUGCAUCCUUGUAUAUAAACAAGAUCACAUCUUUGUCCCCUCCCUCUCAUCCUUUGGGUUUGCCUUUUGUAAGGAUCAUCAAGCACCUAUUUGUUGGUGUUUUACCUUUGUGCUUAUAUAUUCAUUACUUAUUUAACCACUAAUCAAAAUAGCAAAAAAAAUAUGUCUUGUUUCCUUUAAAUUUAUUGUGCAAGGUAAGACUUUUCAUUAAGAGCAUCAAGCAUGACUCCUCAGCUUGGGUUUUGUUGAUUCCUCGAGUCAAAGUGUGUUCAAACAUUGAUUAUCAAGGUGAUAUCUAUCAAAGCAUGAUCUCUAAUAUCCUCAAGCAUCUUUCAAUCUCAUUUGGAUCAAGAGCAACUCAAAGUCUCGUUGCUUAUUUAUCAAGAAAAGUCAAAGGUUCAUGUGUUUAUUUCCUUCUUCAACAAGUUACCUCAAAAUUUGAGAAAUUUAAUCAAGAUGAAUUCAAGGAAACCUUAUUUUGAGUUCAUAUGAUCAUCCAUGUACCUUUAAAUGCAAGAAAGGUCUAAGUACACAAGUUUAUUCCAAGAGGUUUGACUAAAAAGUCAACAUCUGAAGUCAAAGUUCAAAGGAUCACAACUCCUUCAAUUCUCAAUAUUUUUGAAUGCUUUUUUUUUGCAUAUGAUUCUUAUCAUUAUACUUUAAAACUUAUCUUUACAUGACAAAAUCCAAUUAUUCUUGGAGGAUCAUCAAAUGUUUGGAGACAUUAUAAGUCAUUUGUGGACUUGGUGAAAUUUGACCUAUUUUCAAGUGACUUUUUCUCAACUCUCAAGGAUUACAAAUCUUUCAAUUUUUAACAUUUGAGGUUGAUUAUUUUUGCACAAUAUCAUUUUUGAUGCCCUCUACAAGUUUUAUUCAAGGAUAGAAGUAAAACUAUGCUUGGAACGCCAUGGAAUUCUUUGAGACAUUAUAGGUCAUUUUCAUCCAUUUGGGACUUAGAUUUUGCUAAGUUACAUUACCAGAUUUUCGUGCCAACUUCAACGUGUCACAACUUUGUGCUCAAGCAUCCAAAUGAGACCUUUCUUGGAAUAUUGUAAUCUUUUAUAUGAUGCCAACAAAUUGCAAGAAGAAUGGGAUCAAAGAGCCUCCUGAGCAAGAUGCCCCAGUGAGUUAAACAUGGUGACUUAGAACUAAAAAAAUCACCAUGAUCCAAAUUUUGAACUUCACUAAUCUCAAUUGCAAGCCAAGUUACCAUGCAUUUUGGACCUAAACAUGUUCAAUCAAGUCUCCGAAAGUUAAUUGACUCUUAAAACACAUCAUUUGGAUGAGUUUUGAUGGUUUGCAAGUCACACUUUUCUUACAUUCUGAUCAAAUUCGUUUUGCACGAAUUGAGUAUCAUUUCACAUGUAUUUGGAUCCCAACACAUUCCCUGUAAAUAGAGCAACAUGCUUGUUUCAUUCCUAAGCUUUUGAGAGCCAAGAAACCCCUGUUUCACUAUGAAAUUUUUCCAAAAAAUUGAGCUAUGGUGUUUUGAAUUCCAACUUGUUUCAAUCCAAUUUCUUGAUUCCAUUAGCAUCUUCGGUCUUCUAUGAAGCUUUUGCAACAAUUCUCAAGCUCUGAGACCUUCUAAAGUGACCUUCUAAAGUAUCAUUUGGACAAGAUAAUUAUGAGCAUCAUUUAAACUCAAACAAGUUACCACAAUGUAGUCCUCCUCUCUUUGAUACUUUCCCCUAACUUAUCUGGUGUUGAUUGAUCAUGUUCAUUAUUUAAUUUUAUUCUUCGUGGCUUGCUUGUUUAUGAAACUUCUCUGAAAUUCUCCAUACUCAGAUUAGAUAAAUGAAUUUUGGAGCAUGCAGUUGAAUUCGUGGUGAGGAGGCGAUCACAUUGAUGGUAGUCCCGUACUCUGAAUUUGAAAAACGAUGAAACUUCGGUGAGGGAUCAUCAGGGAAGAUGGCCGGAGUUAUCUCAAGUCAUCUGAGUUUUCUUACACGUUGGCAAUUUGAAAUAUUCUGAUUAAUCCAUUUUGAAUUAGAUCUCGUGUUUUAUCUUGUCUAAUGUUCAUCGUGCACCCUAGCCCGAGGAUUGUUGGAUCUGCCACGUCAAUUAAUGAGGCAAGAUCUAACGCUCAGUGUUUUUUCUGAUUUUAUCUCUUUUUAUUUUUUCAUUUUUAAUUGCAUUUUAUUUUAAAAUUCAUAGUAAAUUUAUUUUUCAUACAAAAAAUCGCAAAAUAAUUUCUAAAAUUAUCUUUUAUUUUUCUUCAUCUGAUUUUUAUUUUUCCAUAUUUUAUUUUCUUGAUUUCCUAUUUUUCUCAAAUUUUCUCUUUUCUCAUUUGUUUUAAUUGGUUUAAAAAUACUUUUAGGCAUUUAAAUUUUCUGAAAAAUUUAUUUUAUGUCUCUUAUUUUAUUUCCAACCUUCCAUAAUUUUCUUGGCCAUUUAUUUGGUGUUUUGAAGGGCUUUAUGGAUUUUCUCUUUUAUUUCCCUUUUAAAAUUCAUUUUAAAAAUAUUAUUAAUGCAUUUUCUUUUAUUUUCUUGUAUUUUAUAUUUGUUUGACCUUUGUUUAUUUCUGUUGGCCUUGGAUCAUGGUUGUUUUGAUCAUAGGUUUCAUCAAAUUUAAUGGAUCUCUGGUGUUGAUGGGGUUAAAACCCUAAUUCACCAAAAUGGAUGAUUGAUUUUGAUGAUGACUUGAUCAAUCCUUUGAUCCAAUUUGGGUUUGGCUUAUCUUCUUCUUCUUUAUCCCGUUCUUCUCUUUUUUUUCUUGAUCAAUUGGAUGGUUUGUGUCCAUCUUGUUCAUGAUGUGUGGAUUGAUAUUUGAUGAACUUUCAUCAUUUCAAAUGUACCUCUUAAUUGAUCAUGGAUCAUUUAAGGUAAUUUUUUAUGAUCUUUUUAAUUUUCCUUCAUGAUUUGAGGACGCUUCGGCCAUAAUGUGACCUUCUUUUGCAUAAUGGUAGCAUGUACUUCUACCCUUAUUUUUCUUCUUCUCAUCUUCCUUUGAGGAAUUUAACAACCAUUUGGGAUUGCCAUGAUCCUUCUUUUUGGAUUACUUAUUUCUUUGUUCCCACAUAUAUCUAUUGUACUUUUUGAUAAACAACCUCAUAUCUUCUUCAUUGGAGUCUUCGUUAUCUUUAGUUUCACAAUCACUAAGCUCAUUAUUUGAGGUUUUUUAACUCAAAGUAUUUAGAGCAAUGGACUUUUUCUCUUCCACCUUGUCUUUACCUUUCUUUUUCUUCAUCUUUUUUUCAUACUUUUUUUCCAUGUUGUUCCAAGAAAGUGAGUUCUUGCUCAUGUUCUUCCAAUUUAUCAAACAAAGUAGUAAAAUCAAGUGCUUUAAGAUCAUCCACUUCUUUAAUCAUGAUGACCUUUGGUUGUCAUUCCCUGUUAAGACAUCCUAAAUCUUAGUUAGUAACAAUAGCAUUGAAGAUAAGAUUACCUAGAGCAUUCAAUCUAUUAAUAAGAUAUGUGAAUCUCUUUUGCAUUUCGGAAAUGGUUUCACCAUACUUCAUACGAAAGAGUUCAAACUCUUGGUUUAAUUUGUAGAUUCUAGCUUGUUUGACUUCAUUAGUUCCCUCAUGGGCAACUUCUAAUGCGUCCCACAUAGAUUUAGCGGUUUCACAAUGAGAAACACGAUAAUAAUCAUCAACACCUAAAGCAGAUAUGAGAUUUUUUUUUGCUUUCCAAUCAUGUGACCAUAACUUUCUAUCAUUAUCAUUCCAUUGACCUUCCAGUCUUGGUAUGAUGAAACCUUCACCAUUGGCCAUUGUAAUUUUUUAGGACCAUUGAUGAUGACGUCCCAUACACCCUUAUCAAUGGAGUUGAUAUGGAUAUGCAUACAAGCUUUCCAAUAGCCAUGAUUUUCACUGGUGAAAUAGGUGCUCUAUUAUACGGCCCUUUAGGUUCAGUAGCCAUUAUCUAAUAAGAAAAUCUUAAGACCAAAAAUAAUUGGAGCUCGUGAUAUCACUUGUUAGACGAUAGACCUAGAUCUAGAGGGGGAGAUGAGAGAGAGUACACAAGAUUGCUUAAGCAGUUCCCAAUCGAACUCACUAUGGUAUGUCUGCGCCUCAAUUCAAAUUCGAAUUAAGUAUUAAAUAAUAAUCUACUUUGCAAUGUAUUUGUACAAGAGAUGUGAAAUUAAAUCCAACAAACCUAACUUUAUUUUUGACUCUAGCACCUCCAAAAACCUUGAUCAAAUAUUGAUCAAGACACAACAAUGCCACUUCAAUUCACGCUUGUUGUGCUACUUCUUGGCACCGGCCUCAUUGUCUCAAGGCUUUCACCGCGACUGAAUUAAUCCCAAGAGAAAAACCUUUUAAACCCAAGAUUUGCAACACAAUCCACCGUUUCACGCUACUUCUUGCACAACACACCUAGUCCAAGGAUUUCACUCGAUCUGAUCUGAAUUGCAUAACUUUGUCCAAAAUCUUCAAACCCUAAAUAUCUUGAAGGAAAAAUCCCACAUCGGUUUUUAUAUUUAAUCCUCAAAGAUCUUAACCCAAUAUUCUCGGUACAAUAACCUAAUUAGACGUUCUCAAUCCUAAUCUAAAUAGGCACAAAAUCAAAAAAGAUAAUAUGUAGUUUGAUUGUGUGUAUGCAUAGUUUGAAUUGAAGAUAAUGAGUUGCUUUGAAUCCUGAUUCAUGUAACGUUUUAAUCACUCUAAAAACCUUACUAGAGAAUGAUGGCAUGUACCUAUGUAUAUAUAUAUAUAUAUAUAUAUAUAUAUAUAUAUAUAGUAUAUUAUAAUAUAUUAUAUAUAUAUACUAUAUUAUAUAUUAUAUAUAUAUAUAUAUAUAUACUAUAUAUAUAUAUAUAUAAUAUUAUAUAUAUAUUAUAUAUAUAUAUAUAUAUAUAAUAUAUUAUAUAUUAUGGUCAUUCUGAAGACUCGGCACGGUGAAGNNNNNNNNNNNNNNNNNNNNNNNNNGGGGGGGAUAUAUCCAAGUAAAAUUUAUUUGAUAACCUUUGAAUAAAAAAUCAUAAGUGUGGAAACUAAGUUUCAAAUUAUUUCUAGAUCAAAAAUCGUCCGAACGCGCACCUACUAUUGAAUGAGCUCAGAUAUCGUAAAGUGUCAAAUGGUAUGUUAAAUCCACAAGUUGAUAACAAAUACUUUAAACAACAAAUUAAUACUCCAUUAUGUAAAGGGUAUAUCCCAAUGAAAUAAGAAACAAAAAACAGAGUUGAGACAAUUUUUCAAAACACUUUGCAUGCGAUCAAUAAAUUUGAUUUUAGUAAUAGUGUUGUAUUUUAGACAAUACAAUCACUACAAAUGUAUAUGAAUUACUACAACAAUACAAAUUUAACAAAUGCUUCAAAAAUUAUCAUCCAAACAACUGUUGAUAAGGGAUCAAAGUAAUCAAUAAUUUGCGAAACAAAAAAUAAAAGAUAUAUAUAUAUACUAUAUUAUAUAUAUAUAUAUAUAUAUAUAUAUAUAUAUAUAAUAUAUAAUAUAUAUAUAUAUAUAUAUCAUAUAUAUAAUAUAUAUAUAUAAUAUAUAUAUAUAUCUAUAUAUAUAUAUAUAUAGUAUAUAUAUAUAUAUAAUAUAUAUUAUAUUAUUAUAACGAUACGAGAGAGAGAGAAGAGAGAGAGAGAGAGUACACACACACCCCAUGGCACGCAUUCAUUAUCGUUAGAGCCGUUAGGAAAGAGUACACACACCUCCUCUUCUCUCUCUCCUCUCUUCUCUACCUAACACAGUAUACUAUAAAAUAUAUAUAUAAUAUAGUAAUAUCUAUAUAUAUAUAUCAUAUAUAGCUAUAAUGAUAAUAUAUUACAUAAUAUAGAUAUAUAAUAACUAUGACUAUAUAAUAUAUAUAUAUAAUAUAUAUAUAUAUAUAUUAUAAUUUAUAUAUAUAUAAAAAAUAUCUUUUAUAUUUGUGUUCGCAAAUUAUUGAUACUUUGAUCCCUUUAUCAACAUUGUUGUUUGAUGAAAUUUUUGAUCAUUUGUAAAUUGUAUUGUUGUAGUAUCAUAUACCAUUUGGUAGGAUUGUAUUCUGAAGAAUCUACAAACACUAUACUAGUAAACUCAAACUUUAUUGAUGCGCAAUGCAAAGUGUUUGAAAAAUUGUCUCAACUAGUUUUUUGUUCUUAUUAUUCAUGGGAUAUACCUUUACUAUAAUGGAUAUUAAAUUUGUUGUUUAAGUAUUGUUAAUCAACUUGUGAUUAUAACAUACAUACACAGCCGUUUACGCAUAUCACAUAUAGUAGGUCGGUCGACGAUUUUGAUCUAGGAAAUAUUUGAAACUUGUUUCCACACUAUUAAUUUUCUAAUAUAAAUUUUCAAAUAAAUUUAGGGAUAUAUCCCCCCCCCCCCCCUUAGAUCUAGGUCUAUCGUCUAACAAGUGAUAUCACGAGCUCCAAUUAUUUUGGUCUUAAGAUUUUCUUAUUAGAUAAUGGCUACUGAACCUAAAGCCGUAUAAUAGAGCACCUAUUUCACCAGUGAAAAUCAUGGCUAUUGAAAGCUUGUAUGCAUACCAUAUCAACUCCAUUGAUAAGGGUGUAUGGGACGUCAUCAUCAAUGUCCAAAAAAUUACAAUGGCCAAUGGUGAAGUUUCAUCAUACCAAGACUGGAGGUCAAUGAAUGAAAUGAAGAAAGUUAUGGUCACAUGAUUGAACAAAAAAAAAUCUCAUAUCUGCUUUAGGUGUUGAUGAUAAUUAUCGUGUUUCUCAUUGUGAAACCGCUAAUCUAUGUGGACGCAUUAGAAGUGCCCAAAGGACUAAUGAAGUCAAACAAGCUAGAAUCUCAAAUUAACCAAGAGUUUGAACUCUUCGUAUGAAGUAGGUGAAACAUUUCCGAAAUGCAAAAGAGAUUCACAUAUCUUAUUAAUAGAUUGAAUGCUCUAGGUAAUUUAUCUUCAAUGCUAUUUUACUAACUAAGAUUUAGGAUGUCUUAACAGGGAAUGACAACCAAAGGUCAUCAUGAUUAAAGAAGUGGAUGACUUAAAGCACUUGAUUUACUACUUUGUUUGAUAAAUUGAAGAACAUGAGCAAGAACACUUCUUGAAACAAUGGAAAAAAAGUAUGAAAAAAGAUGAAGAAAAGAAAGGUAAAGACAAGGUGGAAGAAAAGUCCAUCUGCUCAAAUACUGAGUUAAAAACCUCAAAUAAUGAGCUUAGUGUGAAUAAAGAUAAACGAAGACUCCAAUGAAGAAGAUUGAGGUUGUUUAUCAAAAAGUACAAUAGAUAUAUGUGGAACAAGAAAUAAGUAAUCCAAAAAGAAGGAUCAUGGCAAUCCAAAUGGUUGUUAAUUCCUCAAAGGAAGAUAGAGAAGAAGAAAUAAGGGUAGAAGUACAUGCUACCAUUAUGCAAAGAGAGGAUUAUGCCGAAGCGUCUCAAAUCAUGAAGAAAUUAAAAGAUCAUAAAAAAUUACCUUAAAUGAUCCAUGAUCAAUUAAGAGGUACAUUUGAAAUGAUAAAGUUCAUCAAAUAUCAAUCCACACAUCAUGACACAGAUGGACACAUGAAACGCAUCCAAUGAUCAAAAAAAAAGAGAGAACGGGAUAAAGAAGAAGAAGAUAACCAAACCCAAAUGGAUCAAAGAGAUGAUCAAGUCAUCAUCAAAAUCAAUCAUCCAUUUGGUGAAUUAGGUUUACCCCAUCACACCAGAGAUCCUAAAUUUGAUGAACCUAUGAUCAAAAAACAACCUGAUCAAGCAACAGAAAUAAAACAAAGGUCAAACAAAAUUAAAUACAAGAAAAAAAAAUGCAUUAAUAUAUUUUUAAAAUGAUUUAAAAGGGAAAUAAAAGAGAAAAUCCAUAAAGCCCUUCAAAACAACAACCAUCCUAAAAGAAGCAUGUACAACAACAUAGGCCAAACGAAAACUAUGGAAAGGGUGGAAUAAAAUAGAGCUACAAUAUAACCGACAAUUCUUUCAGAGAAAUUUAAAUGCCUCAUAAAGUAUUUUUAAACACCCAAUUAAAUAUAGAAGAGCGAAAUUGGAGAAAAUGAGAAAAUGGCGAAAUAGGAAUAGAUAAUAGAAAAUAUGGAAAAUAACAGAACUGAAGGAAAAAUAAGAAAGAUUUUAGAAAUGUAUUUUACGAUUUUUGUGUAUGAAAAAUAAAUUCUUACAUUAAUUCUUUAAAAGCAAAAUGCAAUUAAAAAUGAAAAAAAUAAAAGAGAUAAAUCAGAAAAAAUCACUGAGCGUUAUGAUCUUUGCUAUCAUUAAUGACGUGGCAGAUCCAUCUACAUCCUCAGUUGGCUGAGGGUGCAAUGCGAACAUAAGAAUCAAGCAUAAAACUACGAGAUCGUAAUGCAAAAUGGAUUAAUCGAGCAAUAUUUCAAUUGCCAACGUAGGUAAGAAAAACUCAGAUGACUUGAGAUAACUCCGGCCUUCCUGAUGAAUCCCUCACCGAAGUUCAAUCGUUUUUUUCAAAUUCAGAGUAACGGGAGUGAUACUGAAGCUAUAGUCUUUAAUAUUGCAUCAUACAUGCGACCUAUACCAUCUAUUUGUCGACCUAAAGUUUAAAAAAGUCAUCUAUAAAUUAACCUAUAGUCGUAUGUUUCGACCUGUGAUGAAUAUUUUUCACUUAAAACUAAGUUUAUCAUGCUUAACACAAUAUUUUGAUGCACAAAUAUUUUCCAGACCAUUUACAACAAUGUUGACAUACUUCCUAAUGCAAGAAUGCUAAAGUGCACAACUAGACUCGGAUGAUAUCGUCCAAUGUACAUAAACAUUAUUUCCUAGUUUUGACAUCAUUCAAAACAUAUGUAAACGGAAGAAUGUACUCACAAAGAGUAUUUGUCUCAAGAUCUUUUCUAUACCUCGACUAAGUGUUUAUUACAAAUCAUGCUCUGAUGCAAACUGAAGGUGAGAAAAAUAAAGAAGAAGGGAGACUGAAUUGUGUAUGCCAAAAACUUGUUUCGCUUUUGAUUAUACAAUUUCAUAACCUAAACAACGUUCAAAGUCUGAUAUUAGAAAUAGUAACAUCAACAGAAAUAAUAAUGAUCAGAAGUAAAAACAAGUAACACACAAAUAUUAUCCUGGUUCCUCUCCUAAACUGAGAGAGUCUAGUCCCCUUGCCUCAACAAGAGAUGUUCGCUAUAAUCAACAGAUUACACUUUGCUAAAGCAUACUUGCAAGAGACUUCACUUGCUCAAUCAACUAAGAAAAAGACUUCUGCUCAAGCAACCUUGCAAGAGACUUCUGCUCAAUCAACAUAAAAAUACACUUCACUGCUCAUCUACACAAACAAGGUACUUCUUAGCUCAAGCACGCAGGAAAUGGACUUCUUCUUAUUCAACCUAGAAAGAGACUUCACUACUCAAGUACACAGACAAGAGACUUAUUUUCUCAAGCACGUAUGCAAGAGACUUCCUCUAGUUUAAACAAAUAGUUUAGUAGAAAUGAUAACCACUAUACUUAGAUACACAAUCAGAAGUAUAAUAGUUGGCAACAACCACAAAGAUUUUUAGCCUCUUAAGAUUUCUAAGAUACACAAAGAUAAGAAUCUUAAGAUCUUAUGCAAUAAUAGUUACAAAUGAAAUCUCAGAGUUAUGCUCCAUAUAUUAUAUUGUGUUAUUUGUACACCUUCCUUCAAAUGUUAGCAUGCACAUUCGUUUUUUAAAUACUUUAUCAUCAUCAAAACUCAGGGGAUAUGAACAAUCUUGUUUCAACAUUUUUUCCAUACAUAUAAUUUCUUACACUUGUGUCAAGGUACACUACUACAAAAAAUACAUUUAACCUCAAACGUGAAGUUUAUUUAGCCUCGGUUACAGAUGCGAGGUAACAAAGAGUGUUAUGAAAAGCUGCCACUUUACCCCUCGGUUUUAGAAUAACCGAUGGAAUAGUUGAAAUAGCCAUUGGUUGGAUGCCCAAUACUAGAUUUUUUAUAUUUUCAAAACUAGCGUCAUAUACCUCUCGGUUUAUGAACAAAAUUGAGGGGAAANNNNNNNNNNNNNNNNNNNNNNNNNNNNNNNNNNNNNNNNNNNNNNNNNNNNNNNNNNNNNNNNNNNNNNNNNNNNNNNNNNNNNNNNNNNNNNNNNNNNNNNNNNNNNNNNNNNNNNNNNNNNNNNNNNNNNNNNNNNNNNNNNNNNNNNNNNNNNNNNNNNNNNNNNNNNNNNNNNNNNNNNNNNNNNNNNNNNNNNNNNNNNNNNNNNNNNNNNNNNNNNNNNNNNNNNNNNNNNNNNNNNNNNNNNNNNNNNNNNNNNNNNNNNNNNNNNNNNNNNNNNNNNNNNNNNNNNNNNNNNNNNNNNNNNNNNNNNNNNNNNNNNNNNNNNNNNNNNNNNNNNNNNNNNNNNNNNNNNNNNNNNNNNNNNNNNNNNNNNNNNNNNNNNNNNNNNNNNNNNNNNNNNNNNNNNNNNNNNNNNNNNNNNNNNNNNNNNNNNNNNNNNNNNNNNNNNNNNNNNNNNNNNNNNNNNNNNNNNNNNNNNNNNNNNNNNNNNNNNNNNNNNNNNNNNNNNNNNNNNNNNNNNNNNNNNNNNNNNNNNNNNNNNNNNNNNNNNNNNNNNNNNNNNNNNNNNNNNNNNNNNNNNNNNNNNNNNNNNNNNNNNNNNNNNNNNNNNNNNNNNNNNNNNAUAUAUAUAUAUAUAUAUAUAUAUAUAUAUAUAUAUAUAUAUAUAUAUAUAUAUAUAUAUAUAUAUAUAUAUAUAUAUAUAUAUAUAUAUAUAUAUAUAUAUAUAUACUCAUUACAUUGUUUAUAUAAAAUAUUAAUAAAUUAAUUUGUUUACAAACUAAAGUGUUUAUACAAAAUAUUACAUUGUUUACGCAUAAUAUUAAAGUAAAAAUGUUGAAUCUGAUUCAUCGUCAACAUUGUCGAUAAAGAACAAAUGUUGGAUAUCUUGGGGAAGAGCAAAUGUCGGGGAUCCUCAUUUCAUUGAUAUUGAGAAAGAUAAAAUGUCUGAUAUAAAACAAAAAAAGGUUAAAUAUAGAAAAUAAAUAUUCAAUUAUAUGAUUAUUUAAGAACACAAACAUUGAACCCAGAUAAUUUUUUCCUCUUGCUAUCCAUCAUAUAAAUUUUUUCCUAAACAAAAUAAACAUUUUUUUAAGUUUCAAAGUUUUCAUGUCAAAAGUUUCAUUAUCAAUUUUUAUUAUUCAGAAUGCUUUUAUAAUGAGUAUUUUAUUCGAGUGUUAAUACUCAUUAAAUGGACGAUAGAUAUUUAUUUAAGGUCGAUGAUGAAUCUCAAUAAACACGUUUAUAUUUUCCCUCGAUUAUUAUUUAAAAUCGAGGUAAAAUGAAUUUCUUAUUAAACAAAAAAUACAAUAAAAUAUUUUCUAUUCCAAGCGUCACAUACCUCUCGGUUUCUUGAAAAAACCGAGGGGACAAUCUUUUUUUUAAAUGACAUUGUUUACGUAGAAUAUUAAAAUAAAUUAUUUAAACAAAUUCAGAUUUUGACAAUGGAUUCUUGGAGACCAACAAAUAUUUUCAAAUUUCUGAUAAGUUAUCUAUUCCAACAAAGAUAAUCUUUUUGUACUUGCAUUCCAUCCCAGAGGGAUUUCAGUAUCUUGAAAAAAUAUUUUCAUGGAAAAUACUUUCACAUAAAAGAUUACAAGAUGAUUGUGUUUACGAAUAACUUUCUCAAUAUUGUCAACCAAGAAAAUCAAUAAUUUUCUCAAUGUUUUAUUUGGUUGACAACAUAAGAAGAUUAUUCCAAAAAUAUAGCAACAACAUCAAUACCAUUAUGUUGGGAUGAAUUGCAAUAGUAGAAAAAAAUAUUUUGUUAGAGAUAGAAGAACAUUGUAGAUUUUUUCUGUCUUGCAAUCCAUCCUAAAGAAUGAUGUGUAAAAGUUUGGAGUGGUUAUUACUUAUAAGUUGCUGAGAUUUGAAGCAUGUGAUCUUUAUUAAAAAGUUAAAUCAUGGCACACCUUGAUAUUUUAUCUCGAUUUUUAGUUAGGUGAGGUGAAAGUUUUAUCAUAAAAUAUAUUAUUUGUAAUUGUGGUAUCACAAAUUUUAUUGGAUUCCUUCUUUAUUUUUAUGUGCUAGCAACACUAUUUUAAACUUCUCAUAUUUUUCACAAAAUAUUAAUAAAUUAAUUUGUUUACAAACUACAUUAUUUACACAUAAUAUUAUAUUAUUUACACAUAACAUUAAAGUAAAAAUGUUAAAUCUGAUUCAUCGUCAACGUUAUCGGUAAAGAAUAAAUGUUGGAUAUCUUGGGGAAGAGAAAAUAUCGGGGAUCCUCGUUUCAUUGAUCUUGAGGAAGAUCAAAUGUCUGAUAUAAAAAAAAAGUUAGAUAAAUAAAAUAAAUAUUCAGUUAUAUGAUUAUUUAAUAAUACAAACAUUAAAACCAAAUAAUUUUUUGCUCUUGCAAUCCAUCAUAAAAUUUUUUUCUCAAACAAAAUAAACGCUUUUUUAAGUUUCAAAGUUUUCAUGUCAAUUGUUUCAUUAUCAAUUUUUAAUAUCCAGAAUGCUUUUGUAGUGAGUGUCUUAGGUUUCACACGGAUCACUAAUGACAAUGUCUCGAGCGUUAAUACUCAUUUAAUGGACGAUAAAGAUUUAUUUAAGGACAUUGAUGAAACUUAAUAAACACACUUAUAUUUUUUCUCGAUUAUUAUUCAAAAUCGAGGUAAAAUAUAUUUCUUGUUAAAUAAAAAAUACAAUAAAAUAUGUUCUAUUCCAAGCACUACAUACCUCUCGGUUUCUGUAAAAAAUCGAGGAAAAACUUUUUUAAUUGACAUUGUUUAAAUAGAAUAUUUAAAUAAAUUGUUUAAACAAAUUCAAAUUUUGAUAGUGGAUUCUUGGAGACCAACAAAUAUUUUCAAAUUUCUGAUAAGUUAUCUAUUCCAACCAAGAGAUUAUUUUUGUACUUGCAAUCCAUCUAAGAGGGAUUUUUUUUGUACUUGCAAUCCAUCUAAGAGAGAUUUUAUUAUCUUGAGCAAAUGUUUUCAUGGCAAAUACUUUGACAUAAAAGAGAACGGGAUAAUUGUGUUUAUGAAUAAACUUCUCAAUAUUGUCAACCAAGGAAAGCAAUAAAUUUUUCAAUGUUUUAUUUGAUUGACAACAUAGUAAGAUUAUUCCAAAAAUACAGCAACAACGUCAACACCAUUAUGUUGUGAUGAAUUGCAAGAGUAGAAAAAGUAUUUUGUUCAAGAUAGAAGAACAUUGAAGUGUAAAAGUCUGGAGCGCCUACAUUUAAAUUAGGUUUUUGAUAAAAUCUAAUUAACAAAUACUUUUAUAAUAAAAUCUAAUAAUCAAAUAUCUCAAUUGUUAAAUAUAACCGAAGGAAUAGAUCAUUAAUUUAAAAAUAUAAAAUAAAAUAAAAGAAAUUAAGACACCAUUUUUAAAGAAAUAAAAAUAUAAACAGUUGUUACUGAUAUUCGAAGCAUGUGAUAUUUAUUAAAAAUAUAUAUUAUUGUGCGUCUUGACCUUUUAACUCGAUUUUUAGUUAAGUGAGAUGAACAUUUUGUUAUAAAAUAUAUUAUUUGUAAUAGUGGUACAAUAAAUUCUCAUGACUCUAUUCUUAAAGGAUCUAAAUUUUGAAAUGUAAUGAUCAAACUUUUGACAAUUAUAGCAUUAAUUUUAAAAUUUGUAAUUCCAUGCGUGUAUGUCUUGCUUCCACAUCCAAGAUGUCGUGAAACACAUCAUCAUCAUCAUUGACCUCUACCUUAACUUUAUUGACAUUUAUCAUUUCAAUAAAUUUCUUCAUUCUUUAAUUUUUCUUUGCAUCUUAAAUAUUUUGUCGGUGAUCUCUUCACCUUGUGGUUCUUCUUGUAAGCUAAUAAUGGUCCCUUAAAUUUUUCUAUUGUCACAUUCUCUAAAUCUUUUAUUUCUUAGAUUAUCAUUACAAUGUACUCAAAUUUUGGUGAUUGACAUGUAACAUUUUGAUUUUCAUGUAGUUUGAUGAAGUGUUUAUGUUCAUAGUCUUUUUUUUCAUGGAUUCAUCAAUUUCGAAUUUUAGAUCUGGAUUUUUUAAAAAGCUUUUUGAUUAUAUAUUAAACUAAUUCUUAAAUAUAGAUACAAUUAAUAAUAAUAUUAAUAUUUUUUAUUAGUUUAUUAACAAGAAGAGAUUAGGAGAGUAUACUUAUUAUUUUUAAUCUUUAUGUUUAUUUACGUAAAAGAAUAAAACAUGUUUGUAUAAUAUUAAUUUUAUACGUAGUAUAUUUUCAGACAUUUAAAAUCAGAAACUCAAAUUAAAGUAAGUCACUACGUAGAUUGAUACAACAAUACAUCAAAAGACAGUGAAUACAGUAUGUAGAUCUAGUACAAGAGGAUAAGACCACAUGUAAGAUGAUCCUAUAUCACUCCCAUUUAGAUUUUAUUCGUAAUAUUAAACUCUCAUAUACUAGUGAGAAGUUUCUAUAUGAUAAUCUUGAAACCGCACCAUCAUCUUCAAAACUUAAUGCUGUCAAUAUAACAAUGGAAAAAACUUGUCAGUACUUAAUUUCAUAUGUUCACAUGCUUCAAAAUAAGAGUGAGAGAGUGUUAUAAUUAAUAGAUGAAGAAAACAAAAACAGUUAAAGCAGUUUUACAGUUAGUUACAUUUUCCAUUUAGUUGGUUAUGCUUUCUGUUAUGCGGUUAGUUACAAUCUCUUUCAACUAUAUAAUUGUUGUAAUCCCCAUUCAAUGCAUAACAGAAUACAGUUCUGCUCUUUAUCUUCUUCCUCUUCACUUUAAGCUUUUCUUACUGUUCUGUCAAUGGCUUUCAUGACAGAAGCAUUUCUUACUGUUCUGUCAAUGGCUUCCAUGACAGAAGCAUAAUAUGGUAUCAUCGUCUUCGAUCCUCUUUCCACACUUCCGCACCGAUCACUUUAAGCUUCUACUUGUGCGAUCCUUCUUUUGAUUUCAGCAUGCCUCCGCGUAUUGAUCCUACCGCAAAUCGAAUCACAAAUUGUGAUGUUGAUUCGGUUUACUAUGUUCAUCCCAGCGAAGGUCCUAAUUCUGUUAGUAUUCAACCUCAAUUGAAUGGUUCGAAUUACAUCUCGUGGUCAAGAUCCAUGGAAAGAGCUCUUGGAGCUAAGAACAAGCUUGCGUUCAUCAACGGAUCCAUUCAAUGGUUCGAAUUACAUCUCGUGGUCAAGAUCCAUGGAAAGAGCUCUUGGAGCUAAGAACAAGCUUGCGUUCAUCAACGGAUCCAUUCGCGUUCCAAGUAUCACCGAUCUUAAUCGAUCUGCGUGGGAACGAUGCAAUUGCCUUGUUAAUUCAUGGAUUCUCAAUUCUGUAAGUCCUGCUAUCGCACAAACCAUUAUUUUCUUGGAAAAUGCUCUUGACGUUUGGAUUGAUCUCAAAGAAAGAUUUGCUAAAACUGAUAGAAUUCGCGUGUCUAAUUUGCGUGUUGAGAUUAACAAUCUCAAACAAGGAAACAAAUUUGUUCUUGAUUAUUUCACUGAACUUCGUGGUUUAUGGGAAGAAUUGAAUUCUCAUAGACCAAUCCCUAGUUGUACUUGUGCUCAACAAUGCAGAUGUGACGCUAUGCAUAGUGCUCGAGAAUUUCGUCUUGAAGAUCAGAUUAUACAAUUUUUAACAGGAUUGAAUGAAAAAAUUUCUGUUAUCAAAACUCAGGUUCUGUUACUAGAUCCUCUACCAUCAAUCAACAAAGUAUAUUCUAUGGUUGUUCAAGAAGAGAACCAUAUUUUUUGUGGUGAGUCAACCUGAUUCUAAUUCAGACUAUUGAUGAAGCAAAUGACUUGUUAAUGCAUAUGAUCAAGGUUAAGUUUGUGGUAAUUCUUCAACUCUUAUGGUGGAGCAUCUAACAAUAAGAAAGAUGGCAGAUAUGCACUUUUUGUCACAGGACGGCCAUCAAUUGAUGUGUGUUAUCAGCAAACAUGGAUUUCUCCCAAUUUUACCAAAAGCAACAACAUCAGCAAUCUAUCAAUGUCUGUGAUACACACAAUAUGAUGAACACUGGAACAGAAGGUUCUCUCAAUAAUCCAACGUGCCAGCAUCACUCAAGAACAGUAUUCUCAAUUGAUUGGUUUGUUACAACAACACAAUUUCCUCCUUCCACCCUACCCCAAUCCAAGUGCCAACCAUAUUUCACUCAUUUUAGAUCAUACACCAAUUGAGAAUUCAGGUAAACUUUUUUGUUUCUACAGUUUCAUGCUCCACUUACAUCAAACCUGCUUUUUGGAUUUUAGAUCUGGUGCCAUGAUCAUGUUUGCUCAUCACUUAAUGUUUAGUUGUUACCAUAAAUCCGCACCUAUCAUGUUUUGUCUACCUAAUGGAUUUGUUGUUAUAGCUAAACAUGCAGGAACAAUCCAUUUUCCCUCACUUGAGCAGUUAAUAAUGUGUAUACACACCUGAUUUUUCCUUAAAUUGUGUCUGUUUUCAAACUCUGUCCAGUCCACUAAUUGCAAAUUCAUUUUUUUCUGCUAAUUGCUUGUUUAUUCAGGAUGUGAAAACGAAGAAAGAUGAUUGGUUCGGCAAAUCAAGUGAGAGGUUGUACAGACUCAGAACAGAUCUGGAUUCCAAUUCCUGCAGAACAGCAUUUCAAGGUAUUUCCUCAUCCAACCUCAUGUAGAAACCUUCAUUCCAAUAAUUGUAAAAUGAUCCCUAAACAAGCUUUGUGGCAUUUUAGAUGUGGCAUUUAUCCAUGAUAGACUAUCCAAAAUGGCCCAAUGUAUCCUGAUAUUUUCAAUGACAGUAAAGUUGUCUGUGAUGUUGUGCACUUGCUAGCAUAAGAAACUACCUACACUUUGAGUCAUUCUAAAGCUUCUCAAAAUUUGAAUUGUUGCAUUUUGAUAUCUGGGUUCUCUCUCCACAAAUUCUAUCCUUCACAAAUAUUUUUGACAGCAGUUGAUAUCACAAGUAAUUUACUUGAUCAUACUUUUUUAAAAAAUCUAAAGUUUCUCACUGUUCAACAAUUUGUUGCUCUCAUAGAAAAUCAUUCCAUACAUGUCCUAAGUUCAUCAGGUCUGACAUGGACCUGGAUUUCUUAAUCAAUUCUAUGCUCAAAGGCAUUCCAUCAGAUCAUGUGUUGAGUCUCCCAACAAAAUGCAAGAGUUGAAGGAAGCAUCAACAUUUGCUAUAUGUAGGUAGACCUUACUGCACAUUCAAAUUUACCUAAAUCCUAUUGGUCUACUAUAGCUAUAGCUGCGCCUUCAUUAUAAUAGAGUUACACCUCUACUCAAAACCAAUCCCCUUAUCACAUACUGCAUAAUAACACCAGACAUUAACCAACUUAAAGUUUUUGGACUUGUGCUAUGCAUCUACCUUGUCCAAUCAAAACUAAUUAAGAUAAGAGCUAGAAAUCAUUGUUCCUUGGAUAUGUUGUUGGUAUAUAGGCUCUAUCUACUUGAUCUAAAUUCAUUCAACAUUUUUAUUUCAAGAAAUGUCACUUACCAUGAACAGAUUUACCUUACCAAAACAGUCUUCAUCUCCACACCUCCUUGGGAAUAUUAUAGCACUUCAGUUCAAUCCAACCUCUGUCAUGAAACAUACUUCUGCUCAAAAUGAUUCUCCAUUCACACCAACUCAACUUCCAGUUACCACAAACUUUUCCUAACCACCACAACUGACUCAAUCCACCUUCCAGCUCCUGGUCAAUUCUAAUCCACCCCACCUCUAUACACAACACUCCACUCGGUGCCUCUACAAGAGUUAGAGCAUUCCCAUCAUUUUUGAAAGAUUAUGUCUGUUACCAACUUCACUGUCACAAUUGCCAUCCAUCUUGUAAUCCUACUCUCUUUCCCAAUUUUCAUUUACAUUUCAUAACUUUGUCUCCUAUCCUAAUCUGCGUUUCACCCAUAGUUCCCUAUACUACCUAAUCAUGAACUAAACAUACUCCGAGCUAGCAAAUUUUGAAAAUGCUUGAAUCAAGCACAUGAAGUUGAAACUUGCUGCAUUGGCCAGAACUGGAACGCUGGAAUUGUGGAUCUCCCCCUGCUUAAACCUCCUUGGUUUGUCGUUGGGUUUAACGAUCAAAGCCUAAAUCUGAUGGGCCAUUAGAAAGGUUUCUAAAAGCUCGGAUCUCGUUGUAAAGCGGAUCGCCUGUCGCCAGACCUGACAAAAUUACAUGUGUGCGAAAAAACACUGGCCGACAAGACAUGACAGGAAGAGUCGACCAACCGCUGCGUGUAUUGUAUCCCAAGGAGGCAGGGAAGGAAACGCUCGAAGUAACUGAAAAGAGGAAAGGGAACAGACAAGGUUCGUAACCAACUCUUGACCCGGGUUCGGGAGCGUGUAUUGAAGGGAAGGUAUUAGCACCCUACGCAUCCGUAGUUACCUUCUACCGGGAUCCACAUUUGUCGUUCUGAUCUAAGGCGUCGUAGUUUAUUUGUGCUGUUUACUAAAAAGGUAAUGAAAAUGACUCGCGCGGAUGUCGCAUCCACUGCAUACGUAUCUCAUCUGAUAUGAGAAUCAGAGUCUUCGUAGCUCGCCUGACCUAUGGGUUGGGUGAUGUGGCUCGCUAGACAUCGCGUCUUAUGCCUACGUAUCUCAUUCGGAAUGAGAAUCAGAGAAGCCGUAGUUCGGCUAACCUACAGGCGGUUAUGGAUUGGGUUUUGGACGAACGACGUUACUACGCAAUCUACCGGAUUGCUCGACCUUGGAGACUUACUCACCUGUAGAUAGAAGGAGUAAACGUUGUGUUUAGGAGAAGAAAAUCAAUGAAGGGUUAGGGUUGGUGAACUCACUUGCAAAAAAGGCAGUCCUUGACGAAGACACCUGUUAAAAAAAACACACAAAACAUUGCCUCCUAUCGAGGUCUUCAGCUAGGAAAGUAGUAAAAAUGCGGGAAAAUGUGAAAGUACCACGCGGAUAAAGAUCCGAUAGUACAACAGUUAGAGGAAUGGGAAAACCAUGGAUCCUUCAGCUCAACACCCAUCAAGAAAUAGUGAGUCAGUACAGGUAUCGGAAUGAACCUCCAGGGGUAUCCACAACAUAAAGUGGAAACCACGCAAGUUAUCCCUGCAAAUCAUGUGAGCCUCACAAAACUCAACAACACGGUUAGAGACAAAAAAUAGGGUUAAUCAAGGGUGCCCCCAAAUCAAAAUGUAACACCAUGAAUCAUGCCAUUAAAUUCCACAAAAGACAUGCAUCAACAGGGUAUCAAAUUCACCCAUAUCCUCAUACAUUUAGAGCAUUCAAUUAAAGGCAUAAAGAUGAUGGAUAUAGGCAACCUAAUUGGAGAGCUUGAUUGAAAUUGAGUUGCACCCGUGAGGUUUACAAACAAUCUUUUAGGUUUAUGUCGAGCAAGUGAUCUGUGCAGUGAGUUCCCUUCAGGGUUGGAGGUUGCUCUGAACUCUGUUAGCUCUUCUCCACUUCUUUUUCCUCAGGUAAUAGGAAUAGAAUCAAUAUUUGUUUCCCUGAAACUCUAGUAUUAUAGCCUAAUGUUGGUAGCUUGUGGCUUUUGAGAGAGAGUCAAGUCUGAGAUUUUCUUUUAUUUUCUUUUUUAUUUUAUUUUAUUUUAAAUAAAGUUCUUGGAUCUAAUUCUGUUGACAUGAUGAAAUGCAAUGUAUCUAAUGUUAAAUGACUAAAAAUGAAUGCAUGCAUGAGGUGUAAUGCGUAUGCUUCCAGAAAAUGAAGGUAAAUUUUGGGAUAUUACAGCAGAUACAACCAGAUUGAAGGACUGAUUACUUAGAUACUUUUCCACCUGUUGCAAGCUCACCACAGUUCGAUUGUUCUAGCUUUAGCUUAAUCCAUAACUUGCAUCUUCACCAACUCGAUGUCAAUAACGCAUUUUUUCACGGUGAUCUGACAUGAGAUGCUUUACAUGUUGAUCCCACCAGGUGUCCAAAGUUCUAAACCUAACCAGGUCUGCAAACUCAUUAAGUCCCUUUAUGGACUAAAGCAGGCAAGCAGACAAUGGUUUGAAAAAUUGACUUCAGUCCUCAAUGCUCAUGGCUACUCUCAAGCACCUUCUGAUCACUCACUGUUUGUUAAACAAACAUCAUCCACCUUUACAAUUUUACUUGUUUGUGUUGAUGAUGUUAUUUUAGCAGGUAACUCUCUACAAGAGUUUCAAACUAUGAAAGAUAUUCUUCAUCAGCUCUUCAAGAUCAAGGACUUGGGCAUCCUCAAAUACUUGUUGGGUUUAGAAGUAGCUCACUCGAAACGUGGUAUCUCCAUUUGCCAAAGAAAAUACUGUCUUGAUCUUCUCAAGGACUCAGGUUUUAUUGGCUCCAAACCAGCAAACACACCAUCUGAUCCAUCACUUAAACUUUGCCAAGAUGAUAGCCCUGCUUAUCACGAUAUUCCAUCUUAUAGACGACUCAUUGGCAGAUUAAUCUACCUCAAUACUACUCGCCCAGAUAUCACGUUUAUCACACAACAACUCAGUCAAUAUCUUUCCAAACCUUCUACUCAACAUUAUACUGCUGCUUGCAGAGUCUUGCAAUAUCUCAAACAAUGUCUAGGCCAAAUAUUAUUUUUUCCACGAAGUUCACCACUACAAGUAACAGGUUUUUCAGAUGCUGACUGGGCUGGCUGUGUAGACACACGUAAAUCUGUUUUCGGAUCAUGUUUCUAUUUGGGCAGCUCUCUUAUUUCAUGGAGAACAAAGAAACAAACCACUGUCUCUCGUUCCUCUUCAGAGGCAGAGUACCGUGCUUUAGCUGCAGCCGCGUGUGAACUCCAAUGGAUCUCGUUCCUCUUCAGAGGCAGAGUACCGUGCUUUAGCUGCAGCCGCGUGUGAACUCCAAUGGCUUUUGUACUUGCUUCGUGACAUGAACAUUGCAUGCUCUCAAGUCCCAGUUCUAUUUUGUGACAGUCAAAGCGCACUCCACAUAGCUGCUAACCCUGUUUUCCAUGAACGUACAAAACAUCUUGAUAUUGAUUGCCACAUUGUACGCAAAAAAGUUUCAGCAGGCAUAUUGAAACUUAUUCUCGUGUCAUCCAACAACCAACUUGCUGAUUUCUUCACUAAACCUCUCCUACCCAAACCAUUUCAUUUCCUCAAAGCCAAGUUGAACUUGAUCAACAUCUACUAAGGUUCAACUUGUGGGGGGCUAAUAGAUGAAGAAAACAAAAACAGUUAAAGCAGUUUUACAGUUAGUUACAUUUUCCAUUUAGUUGGUUAUGCUUUCUGUUAUGAAGUUAGUUACAAUCUCUUCCAACUAUAUAAUUGUUGUAAUCCCCAUUCAAUGCAUAACAGAAUACAAUUCUGCUCUUUAUCUUCUUCCUCUUCACUUUAAGCUUUUCUUACUGUUCUGUCAAUGGCUUCCAUGACAGAAGCAUUCCUUACUGUUCUGUCAAUGGCUUCCAUGACAGAAGCAUAAUAAUAAUAAGACAUAUGUGUUACAGUUGGUAGAGGUACUGAUCUUAUAAGGAAUGCUAACACCGCAAUUUCCAGGGAGAGCAGCAACAUUGUUAGUAUUCAAUUUUGAAAUAGAACCGGCAGCUGAUUUCAAGCAGUUACAGGCAGCCUGACGAUCAGGCGUCGUGGUGGCGGCACCAAGAAGCUUCUUCACUCCUGCACAACAUGGCGGUGGAGGACUGGCAUUAUUAGGAGCUUGAAGAUAAGUAACGCAUGGAGCCAAAUCACCGGUUACAGCUCCACAUGACAAAGCAGCUUCUGCCAUAGGCGCAAUAACUACCAUGCAGAUCACCAAAACAACACAUGCUAACUUCAUGCUUCUUGCCAUUUUUGUUUUCUUUCUUUUCUAUUCUUUUUCUUGGUUUGUUUGAAUGGUGUGUAAUGUCUUUCAGGGAGGGCUUUAUAUAGAAAAUAAGAUAAGGUUUGAGGAUGAGUAGAUUGAUGAAUUUUUUGCGAAUGUGCAUCAAUAUUAGGUGGUAGUUGUGGGUUGAAUUAAUGAUGUAUGGUACAUUAUCUAUAAUUAUUGGGCACUUGUCUCAGUAUCAUAGGUUUUUAUUUAAUGAUUUGGUACAUGGUUAGAUUUGAUGAUCAUGACUGUCGGGACCCAUGUAUGAACUCUCCAUCCUACUCUUUAUUACCCUUGUCUAGGGGUGGCAAACGGGCAUGCCCGCCCCGUUUAGGCCCGCCCCACAAAAACCCGUAAAAAAACGGGGCGGGGCGGGGCGAUCAUAGGUGAGGAUGCGGGCCUAAAACUUAGACCCGCCCCGCAAAAAAGUGAGGGUGGGGCGGGGUAAGCCCGCGGGCACUGCACUCUUUAAACCUAAAAAUGCAAAAAUUUAUGUAAACACACGUGCCCGCAAAAGCCCGCGAAAAAAACGGGGCGGGGCGGGACGGACACAUUUGAGGGUGAGGGCCUAAAUCCUUGGCCCGUCACGCACAAAAGUGAGGGCAAAACAGGCAUGCCCAGCGGGCCGAGCCCGUUUUGCCACCCCUACCCUUGUCGUUGUUUUUUUUUAAAAGUCAAUAAAAGUUAUAGUAUUAAAGAAAAAGGAACAAAUAUUAUAUAUAUAUAUAUAUAUUAUAUAUAUAUAUUAUAUAUAUAUAUUAUAUAUAUAUAUAUAAUAUACAUUAUAUAUAUAUAUAUAUAUAUAUUAUUAAUAGUGAGGGUAUAUAUAUAUAUUAUAUAUGUCAUUAGAGAGGGUAGUUUAAUCUAUUUAAUAGAGCGUAAAAAUUAUCCAUAAUGAACCGGAUAAAAAUCUAUAAGAUUGGUACGGAUAUGAGUACAAAUAAUUAUCCACUAAAAUACGCAGAUAUAGACACGAGUUCAAGUAUUUUAGUAUCCAACUCGCCUCAUACCCAUACUAUAUAUUUAUAUAUUUUUAUUUUUAUCAUUCUAAAAACAUAUAUAAUACAUUUACAUUAAACUUGUUCGCAUUUCAACGUAAGUGUUUGUUUAUUUUUUAAUUUGAUAAUAAUAUCCUUAAUUUUUUUUUAAUAUUGUCAAAAUCUUAAAAUGACAUGAUAGAUUAUAAUUGGUUGAUAAUGUUUUAUUAGAAAUGCGUGUAAACGGGUAUGGGUAUGGGUGCUCAACUAUCCAUAGGAUACGAGCACGGGUAAAAAUGUUGGUGUCCACACGUGUAUGAGCUCGGGUACGAGAUUUUUUUAAAAUUACUGGUAUGGGACGAGUACUAUAAUACUCUGUCCAAACUCUACCCAUUGCCAUCCCUAUCUGCAAUAACAUAAGAGAAAGUUUGAAAGACGAUAGAGGAUUGCGAAAGUUCAAAAAGUUCAGGUUUAAAUGGAGUUAAUUCAUAAAAGAGUUUUGGAUGGACAUCAGAUUUGAUUUUACGAGGGUUAUGAAAGAACUCCAUUCAAACAACAGGAUUGUAAAAGGACCAAACUGUUUAUUUUUGGUUCUAAUACCAAAGAAAAACAGUCUGGCAAGAAUAUCAUACUACAAAUUUAUUUCUAUAAUAGGAUGCAUAUACAAAGUCAUAUCCAAGGUAAUGGAAAAUAGCUUGAAAAAGAGAUGGACACAAUCAUUUUAGAAAAUCAAUCAACUUUCAUUUCUGGAAGAUAAAAUAUGGACGAUAUCUUAGUGGCAAACAAGAUACUGGAUGAGGUUAAGAGAAAGAAGAAAAAAGUGAUAUUAUUUAAAGCAGAUUUUGAAAAGGCAUUUGACUCGGUUGAAUGGAAUUUAAUAUCAUUUGUCAUGGGUUAAACUAGGAUUUCAUGAUAAAUGGAUAAAAUGAAUUAAGGAAUGUCUAAGUUCGUCCUCGGUUUCGGUGUUCAUAAAUGGGAGCCCAACAAAGGAGUUUAAGAUGGGUAGAGGUCUAAGACAGAGAGAUCCAUUAUCCCCAUUUCUUUUCUUAAUCGUAGCAGAGGAUUUAGUAUUCCGAUGAAGAAAAAUGAGGAUAUGAGGAUGUAUUCAGGUUUCACAUUUGAGUUGGGAGAAGAUCAGUUAUUUCACCUACAAUAAGAAAAUGAUACGAUGGUUAUCAAAGAGAAAUUCUGGAAGAAUAUCAGGAUCAUAAAAUCAAAUAUGUUGUUACUUGAGUUGAUGUCGGUUUUAAAAGGAAAUUUCCAAAAAAAAAGCUCACUGGUUGGAAUCAAUGUUCCUCAUGGUUGGGUAGUGGAGGAUGCAAGGAUAUUAAACUUUAAAAUAGGUUUAUCCCCACUCAAUUAUCUCGACAUUCCGAUAUGGGAAAACCCAAAGAGGAAAAUACUUGGAAUAAGGUGAUAUAGAUAAUGUAUGCUAGAUUAUCAAGAUGGAAGAACAAAUGUCUCUCUUUUGGUGGUCGGAUAGUUCUCAUAAAAUAAGUUUUGUACACGCUACUGAUAUAACUUUUCUCUUUCUUCAAGACUCCAAUAGGUAUAAUCUCUAAUAUAGAGUCCAUGUUUAGACACUUUUUGAGGGGGGAAGUGCCAAAGAGACAAAAGUAAAUAGGGUUAGCUGGGACAAGGUGUGUAGACCAAUCGAAGAUGGGGAAUUGAGAAUUAUAAAUUUUAAAGUGUUCAACAAAGCUCUGUAUGGAAAAUGGGCUUGGAAAAUGAAAAAUGAAAAGUCGUGUUUUUGGUAUAGAGCAUAGGUUAAUAAGUAUGGCCUGUCAAGUGAUGAGGUUGGGUCGAGCGAAAGGGCUACUUUGGUUAGGUGGAAAGAGAUUAAGCAAAUAAAUAUAUAUAUUUUGAAUCAAUCAGAGGUAGAUUCAGUAAAAGAGGCUUACAAAGAAUUAAUGUUGGAAUCGUUAAGUAACUCAAAUAGACAUUGAUCUAGAGUGUGGAAUUAAGCGAUUCCAUAAAAAGUGCCAGGGCUAGAGGGGAGACUGCUCCAAAUAGAAUUCCAACAAUAGACAACUUAGUUAGAAGGGGAUGAUUGACCAAAUAUUAAGUAGUUAUGCCAGUGAAUGUGGGGGUGAGGAAUCAUUAUCUCAUAUAUUUUUCGAGUGUGUUGUUUUUGCAGGGAUUCAGAACUACAUUUUUAUGUGGCUCGACGUGUUCUUUUGAUUGGAUGUUUUAGGUUAAACAAUAUGUGAAACAAGAUGUAAAUUUUGAAAAGGCGUCGCGUGGAACAAGAUGUUCUAGCAUGAGGUGCAACAUCUGGCUUCAGUCUGUAAGCUAGGUUAUGUGUGUAAAUAUGUGUGUGUUUAUAAUUAAUUCCAAGGAGACUUUUCAUUUAUGAGUUGUAUCUUUUUAGCAAUAUGGUCAUUAAAGGAGAUUGGCUAAAAAUAUUGCCCAAGACCAAAUCAAAUUGAAUGAGAUUAAAUCUCUUGGUGGACAUUGUCAUACCAUAAUUUUGCCCCAUGUAUUUUAUCUACUUUAAGUCAAGUAUCACCUAAUUUAAAAAUUUCAAAAAAAAAAAUCCAAGUAGAUAACAUACAUCAUAUGUCAUGCAUCAUUCAAAACUCAUUCAGUGCAAAUUAAUUCUAUCAAAGUCAACUGAAAGUAAACCUUUGAUCAUUUGUAUAAUUCUACGCUUGCAUCAUUCCAAAUAAAUUUCUAUCAUUCAUCAUAUACAUUUUACAUUAUUCAAAGUCAAAAAGUCAACAAAAAUAAUCUUAAGUUGACUUAAAUAUUCAAGUCAUUUUGCAUCAUUUUUAUUUUUUGCAUCACAUGCAUAAAAAAAUAGUAAAUUUCAUGGGAAUAAAAUUCAAGCCAAAUUCUCAUUACAUCAUCAUUUUACUUCAUUUAUCAUUUGAUCAUCCAUCAUUCAUUUCAAAAUUCAAAGAAAAAGUUAAAAUUUUGCGCAUAAAAGACACAGAAUGAUCACACUUGUUUUGGCUAAUCACACUUUUCAUUCACACCUUAUUUGAUCACGGCUAAUCACACUUUUCAUUCACACCUUAUUUGAUCACAUCCAAUUACAAUAUAUAUAUAUAUAUAUAUAUAUAUAAUAUAUAUAUAUAUAUAUUAGAAUAUGAGAUAUUUUCAUGCCAAAUUAAAAUCAAAUUAUACCAAAUGAAGUUCAAAUUCACUCACACUUUUUGCAUCGUCACAUAAUUCACAUCUUAACCUUUAACCUAAUUCAUUGGCACAUAAAUCAAUUCAUUCACUAGCAGCAAAACACAAUCAAUCACUACUAAACAACCCCAAAAUGUCUGGUUGGAGUGUGUGUAAUGGGUAAGAGGUUCAUGGCCACCAUUGUUGAUGGUUCAAGUUUUCUAAUAAACUUCCUCAUUUCUAUGUUAUUCAUCAUGCAGAUGCCCCCCUUUUUGGUCUCCAGGACCUCCUUAUUUAUAUUGUUAAUAUCCUCUCCCCUAGGAUCCCAAGAGACCUACUUUAUUAUUACUUUUUGACAUAAGUAUGGUAUGAUGGUCAUUAGUAGGAUAACAAUUUCAUUCGUUUAUUCGGUGGAUGUCAUAACACUCUAUAAUUUAUGGCAGAAUGAUGUAAUAGACAAUUCUUAACUUCAUAACUGAUGAAUGACUUUUGUCCAUCCUUCUAGAAUCUGAUAUGGAUACCUCAUGUCCAAGAAAGUCAUAUUGAUCAUAUCUGAAUCUAGGAUGUAUAUACCCUAUAGUUAUUAUACUGAUUUGUACAUAUCAUCCAGGAGUGUGCCUUUGUGAUCUAUAUGACCCGGCCUCUUAUUUUUUAUAAGUAGGAACUCGUUUAUCUUUCAAGUAACUGGUAUAUCCGACCUUUACCCCCAGACCUAAUGGCUCAUAACUUGACUCUGAUAUUCCCGGGCUAUACACCGGUAAUAUCAAAGUUCGGGAAGUAAAAUCUGUUCUAAAAUUCCUGGGAUGUACAGUUUGAACCUAUAUAUUCUACACCAGUCUAGGCCUCAAGGCUUGUAUUUCCAUUUCUUUUGAACAAAAUUCCUCUUCCUGGAGUUCCCAUGAGAUACGGCGGGAUUCUAUGAACUACUUGUAAAUGGAUAUCUUUAGGUCAAUGCAUGAACUGACUAACCAUUAUGAUAGCAUAUGCAAUAUCAGGUCUAGUAUGAGACAAUUAAAUUAAUCCCCCAACUAGACUUUGAUAUAUUUCUUUAUCUAUUGCAACAUCUUCUUAUGUAUUACCCAAUUUAAUGUUUGGUUCCAUUGGAACACUUGCAGGUUUACACAUUUCUUUGUCCCUUUGAGUAAAUUUGUAAUGUAUUUUUGUUGAGAUAUAAAAAAAAUUGGGAAUGUGCCACCUCGAUUCCCAAAAAGUACUUCAGCUUUCCAAGAGAUUUUAUUUCAAACUCCUUAGCCUAACAGUGUCUCAAGACCUGUUACUCCUUCCAAUCAUCACUAAUUAUUAUAAUGUCAUCGAUAUAUACUAAUAGAACUAUUACUCUCACUUGUGGCGAGUGUUGGAUAACAAUGUGUGAUCCCCCUAACUUUGAUUGAUCUUGAACAUGUCAUAACUUUGGCGAAUCUUCCAACCCACACACGAAGUGAUUGUUUUAGUCCAUAUAACGCUUUUUUCAAUCUGCAAAUUGUGUUGUCAUGCACAUUUUUUCACACCCCGGCGGUACCUGUAUAUAAAUCUCCUCCUCAAGUUCCCCAUGUAAGAAGGGAUUUUUCACAUUAAAUUGUUGUAAAUCCCAACCAUAAUUGGCAGCAAGUGACAAAAUUAAUCUGAUUGUGUUCAUCUUUGCAACCGGGGAAAAUUAACCAUAUGUUUGUGUAAACCUUUUGGUAACCAAUAUAUCUUUGUAUCGUUCAAUUGAUCGGUCAACCAUAUAUUUUACCGUACACCCAUUUGCAUUCAACUAGACUCUUUCGUUUUGGUAAAUUCAAUAAGUCCCAAGUUCCAUUCUUCUUCAACGCGUCCAUCUCGAUUUUCAUGGCUUGCUUCCAUUUUUCAUCAAACAAUGCCUCAGAAAUAUUAGUAGGUAUGGAAGUUACGUUUAGGUUUGUAAGGAAGGCUCCAUAGGUAGGUGAUAAUUUUUUAAAAGAAAGAUAGUCUGAAAGGGGAUAUAAAGGUUGUUUGGAGCAUUUUCUAGUUCCUUUUAUAAUAGUUAUUGAAAGGUAUAGGUCAUCAUCAGUUUUUUGGGUCAUCAUUUUAUCUUGUAAUUUAGAAUAAUUAAUUACCUCAUUUGAAGGAGUCGAGUCAGCCUCUUGAACUUAUGUCGAUUCAAGAAUGAACUUUGAAUUUCUCAUGUAAACUAGAUUCUUUCUAUAUCUUACAUCCAUUUCACGUCCAGGUUUAGUUACUAGUGUAUUUGAUUGAUUUGACUCAGCUCCUACUUCUUCAUCCUCAUAUGGGUCUAGUACAAGUGUGUUUAACUUGAGACCCGAAAGAUUGGGUGUAUUUGAAUAAUGACUAGAUGUAUGUGACUUAAUAUUAGACAUAUGGAGUGUAUUUGAUUCAAGACUAGAAAGAUCUAAACUUUCAAGCUUAUCAUCCCCAAAUUUCUCCCCCUUAAGAUAAGGUUGAGUGAAGUACGGUUCCUCCUCAUGAAAGGUAACAUCUUGCGACACAAAAAACUUUUAGAUGUAAGAUGGAUACACUUAUAUCCCUUUUGAGUAGAGUAAUACCCUACAAAAACUCAUCUAGGGUCAAGUUUUUUUCUAUCUUGACUAUGCACAUGGAAAAUGAGACACACCCAAAGAUUUGAUGUUUAAAAUUACUACUUGUUGACAAAUUUUAGAUAGAAGGAAGGAAAACAUGCAUAGGACUUUUGAACCCUAAUACUCUAGAGGGUAAUCGAUUAAUAACAUAUGUGUUAGUGGGAACGACCUCCCCCCAUAAAUAAUUUCGAACAUUUUGAUGAAAUAACAAUGCUCAGGUUUUGUCACAUAGAUGCUCAUUUUUUCUUUCUGCGAUUCCAUUUUGUUGUGGUGUUUUAACAUAAGAAGAAUCAUGAACAAUUCCCUUUUUUUUCACAAAAAUAAAUAAGAACAUAAUUGAAUUACUAUUUUCCAUUAUCAGACCUAAGCCUUUUGAUGUUUACUCCAAAUUGAUUUUUAAUCUUGUAGAAAAUUUUGGAAAAACGGUAUUGAUGCCAGACUUGUUUUGGAGUAAACACACCCAAGUAACCCGAAUACAAUCAUCUAUAAAAGUCACAAACCACCUAACACUUGUUACAUUUGGAUUGGUAGAGGGACCCCAAACAUCUGAGUGAAUAAGGUAGAAGGGAGAAAGACUUCUUUUGUUGUAUAACGGAGAAGAUAGAAACUUAUAUUUAGCAAACUCACACACAUCACAUGAAGACUUUCAAUAUCCACCUUAUUGAAUAAAGAUGGAAAGAAAAAUUUAAUGACUCCAAAAGAAGGAUGACCUAAUUGACAAUAAAAAAGAAAGAUUUUUUCCUUUUUAAAGAGUACUGACUCGACUCUGACAUAAAUGAGUAGGAUAAUUAGACAUUUUUACAUUGACUUGGUUCAUCAAGAUAGUAAAGACCAUUCCUUUAUCUACAACGUCUAAUCGUCUUUCCCGACUCCUUAUCCUAAAUAAUACAAUAAUCAUUAAAAAGUCACAUUACAAGAUAAAUCAUUUGUAAGUUUUUAUACGAAUACAAGGUUCAUGGAUAAUUUUGGAACCUGGAUGACCCUUUUUAAGGUUAUAGAAUAAUUUAUUUGGAUAUCUCUAACGUCGACUACAAUUACAAGAAUACAACUGCAAUAGAUUUUUUUUAUUGUUAUUGGGACAAUGGGAAUAUGUGGAGAACUGUUUCGAAGAGGAUGUCAUGUGGUAUGUGGCUCCUGAAUCUAAUAUCCAAAAUAAGAAAGAAGGCGUUUCUGAGACAUGAAAUCCAAGGGAGAAUGGAAGCUUACCAGAAUACGCCAUAAUAGAAUUAGCUGAUGAUUUUUCCAUUUUAUUGUUCAUACAGAAAACAGAAGCAAGCGUCAAAUAUUUAUGUAUAAGAUAGCAAAGAAAAUAAGAUUCGACGAAGAAAUCAACACAGUAAAUGUAGGGACAACGACUGGUAUUGUGCAGACGAUUGCUUAAAAAAGUGUAGAGUUGUACGAAUGGUGAUAGAAAACUAUACGAGCAGCUUCUAGAAAGUGUACAGAACUGACGUCUACCGAAAAGUAUAAAUAGUAGUUAACUUGAAGAACUUUACAGCAUGUAAUGUGUAGUUAAGAUUUGAGGAUACUGACAACAGAAAAUGCCUAGUAAGAUUUUCUUAAGAAAUAUUUGCGGAAGUUGAGUCCCUUAGAUCUGGGGCUCAGAUGUCAUGUUACGAAAGUGUGGUUGGAUCUAACUUAACCUUACAAAAUUGUCUUGUAGGGUGAGGAUUGCCCCCACUUAUAAAGACAUGUUCAUGUCAUAUAUUAUCUGAUGUAUGACUCUUAACACACUCCUUCACACCCAGUACUGAACAUCGAGAGCGUGUAAAGAAAUGGUGGGUGGUCCAAUAGGGGAAACAUAAUAGUAGGUGGCCCACUGAAUCUUAAACGAAGCUUUGAUACCAUGAGGAAAAUAAAAAUAAAAAAAAUUCUUGAAUGUUCUUGAGUGAGUAAAACACUCAACAACAAUGAUAUUUAUACACACUAUAUAAUUAAUUACAUAUAUGUUUACAAGAAGGAGAAAUGAUUACUACCUCUGUUUUUUAUUAUAAGUAGUUUUGGAAAAAUAUUUGGUACCACAUUAUAAUUCGUUUUAUAAUAUCAAUGAAUCAUUAAUGAUAUUUUUCCUAUUAUACUCUUAAAUAUUUAUUAUUCUCCCUCUUCUCAAGUAUGUUAAUUUGUCUUUUCAAUACCAUUAAUGAAGGACAAUUUUGUAAAAUCCUUUAUAAUUUCUCUUUUUUAUAUCACAAUUAUUACAUAAAAUACUUAAAUGUAUGAAUUUAAAUAUACAUGAAUCUAAAUACUUAAAUGCUCAUUUUCAACCGUUCAUUUGUUAAACAAUAAUUGAUCUAUUGACAUAAUAAAUUUGUCAUAAAAUAAAUGAUAUUUUUAGUUUUAUGUUUUUAUUGAUGAUUUUUUUUCAUGCAAUACUCUUAUGAUGAAUUUCUUUUUUGUUUUCAAAAAUAAAAUUAAAAUUAAAAUUUAUCAACUAACAAGAAAAUAAAACCCAAUUGAAAUAUUUCAAUAUUAGGUAAAUUGAUACAAGCAAUGUAUUAAAAAAAGUCACGGUAGCGUUGCGAUUUGAGUCGUCGUGGCCGUCGCAAUCGCAUAUGGUUUUCUAAAACCCUAGAUACAAGGACACAUGAAGUAGAGACAAUCCAAUACAUAGUCUAGUACAACAAGAGGAUAGGACCACAUAUAAGAUGAGUCUUUAUCACUCUCAUUACAUAUUAUUCUUAAUAAUAGCAUCACAUGGCACUCUCAUAUACUAGUGAGAAGUUUCCAUAAGACAUUCUUUAAACCGCGCCAUCAUCUUCAAAACCUAAUGCUGUUAAUAUAACAAAUAAAAAAACUAAUCAGUAAUUAAUUUCAUAUUUUCAAAGGCUUCAAAAUAAACCAACAGAGAUAUAAGAGUGAAAGUUAUAAUAAGACAUACGUGUUACAGUUGGUGGAGGCACUGAUCUUGUAAGGGAUGUUCACACCGCAUUUACCAGGGAGAGCAGCAGCAUUGUUGGCAUUCAAAUUAGAAAUAGCACCAGCAGUUGAUUUCAAGCAGUUACAGGCAGCCUGACGAUCAGCAACGGUGGGGGCGGCGGCCUGAAGAUUCUUCACUCCUGCACAGCAUGGGGGUGAAGGACUGGCAUUAUUAGCAGCUUCAAGAUAUGUAAGGCAUGGACGAAGAUCAGUCAUUACAGUUGCACAUGAGAAUGCAGCUUCUGCCAUAGGUGCAACUAACAUGCACAUCGCCAAAACAACACAUGCUAGCUUCAUGCUUCUUGCCAUUUCUUUUCUCUCUUUUGAAUUUUUUUUCUUGGUUUGUUUGAUUGGUGUGUGUAAUGUCUUUCUGGGCGUGGUUUAUAUAGAAAAUAAGAUAGAGUGUAAAGAUGAGUAGAGUGAUGAGUUAUUGGUGAAUGUGCAUCAAGAUGGGGUGGUAGUUGGGUUGAAUUAAUGAUGUUUGGUGCAUGAUCAAUAAAUAUCGCCCACUUGUCUCACUAUCAUACGUUUUUUAUUUAAUCAUUUGGUACAAAGUUAGAUUUGAUGUUAAUGAGCGUGGGACCGUGUAUGAACUCUUCACCUUACUCCUUAUUUUUCAUUUUUGACAUACCAGAAUGUUACAAAUCUCAUGCAAGAGUUACCACAUCCAACGUGUAUCAGAAGAACAUACAGUCAAAAUCUGCUAAAUCAGUACAACAUAAAAAUUCAUCUAGCAGGCACUAUUCCGAUGCGGUUGCUUACAAACCAGGUAGAAAUUAGGAUCCAGAUAUUAGAACGGAUGUAAAAUCAGACACAAAUAGUAGUAUAAUCAACCAUCAGAAUAUGUUGAAUCACUAUAGUUUUGAACCUCUCUUCUUAAACCCUUAGGCUGUCUGGCAGAUAAUUUUGGACAUUCAUAGAAAAUGUGUGAAAUAUUUUCUUCUUUUCUCCAACCAGAUAGUUUGAGAUUCAUCCAACACCCCCGCUCUGAAAGGUUGUCUUUGGUUAGAAUUUUGUUUGGCCAAAUCCUUCAAACCAAUGUUGAUACUUAAAGCGCAAGCAAUCCAUUCCAAGUCCCUUAUAUUCCUCUUAUCUUCUGAUUCUUCACCUUUUUUCUAUAACUUCUUCUUCAAGCUUUCUUUCCUGUUCAUUUAGUUUUCCUUUCCACCUUAUAUUCCAAAUCCCCUCUUCUCCUCCAUUCACCACUUCAUUAAAUAAAUUUCUUUAUUCUCAACCAAAUCAAACAGUCCAACAUAUUUGUUCUUCAGGAUUUGUCCCUCAAGCCAAGGAUUGAUCCAUAAAUGUUUUUCAGCUCUGUUACCUAAUUUUCUUUUAGAGCUUUAAAGAACGAAAGGAAGUAUAAGUAAGGCAUAUACAACAAAUCUUAGAAGGAUGAUUUGACCACCGAUAAAUAAAUUAUGGUCAUUCCAUUUGGACAAUCUCAUCGACAAUUCAUUAAACACUGAUUUUCAUAACUCCUUUUUUAUAUGGUUACCUCCAAUAGGAAGGCCCGGAAAUUUGAAUGGAGUAGUUUGGACCUUACUAUUGGAACAAGUUUUCUUUUACAAUUAUCCUGAAAUUUUGAUGAUAACAAAAUGUAAGAGAAUAAUUUUGUACUCUAACCAAAUUGUUGAGUGUGCAGAAAAAUUGGAACAAAUUUUAACUUUGAAGAUGUCUAGACUCUGAACUAAAGAAAAAAAGCAUUCAAACAAGUCAACUCUAAUAUAUUAAUGGCAACGUUUCAGAAGAGAAGUUCUCAAGACUGACACCGAUAUAUAUAGCUCUGACUAUCUGCUUGUGAAGUCUCAGAAUCCAGCAUCCAAAGAUUAUGAAAUCUCACUAAAGAUUCUGAAGACAGACCUUGGAAACGUUGCUUCAACAACAAAUAUCAGAACCCUAUGAGUGGAAGUUGUCCAAAAGUCAACAAAAUAUUUGAUGUGGCCGAAGUACAAAAGCAAAUCUACUUUUUCCAACAGUAUUGUACUCUGUGUAAAAGAAAUCUUUUGCGUCCAAUCAUCUUCACCAACUACAGGCUACAAUGACGCUCUAGUGCUUCAUUUGAAGUUAUCUUAUCCAACGGAUACUUAGAGGAUAUUUUCAUCUUCACCUCUAACGGAUCUACUUUGCAUCUAUUUAGAGAGGACAUUAAAGAUUGAAGAAGGGCACAAGCGAAUAGAUAUUUGAUACGCGCACAAAACUACAUCAACGCACACACUCAGAAAAAUGUAUUAUUUACACUUAUACACUUAGAACAAAGAUCAUUCUAUAUUCUUGUUAAAUGUAGAACUUGAUUAUAAACAUUAGUAUCUGCUUUUGAGAAGCAUCUAUAAACAGAAAAGUUAUUAUUACAAUUUUGGUUGUAAUCCUCAAGCGACCAGGUUAGGUUAGGAUCUUGAGAAGCCAGUAACAGAUUGUUAUUGAAAAAUCUUCUUAAGCAACCAAGUAGGUCAAGUCUUAAGGAGUCAGUGACCUUCAGUUUUCUUAGGAGAUCAUUUGGGUCAGAUUCCUGAAGAAAGUCAGAAUGGAUUAUCACUGCAUUUGCAAUCAGGUUUGAUUAUUGGAUUAAGUCCUUGUCUAAGGAAAAUCACUCAGGUGGUUGGACUGGAGGUAACCUAGUUAACGGGGAACCAAGAUAAAAAUCAUUGAGUGCUUUAUUAUUAUGUUCAUUAUUUUUUGUUGUUGUUUUGGGUUAUGAAAAACUAUCAUUCUUGAAACCCAAUUCAAACCCCCCUUUUCAUGGGACAAUCUCUCAUGAAGUGGUCUUGUUUCUGACAAGUAAAGCAUUUUACCUUUGACUUAUCAAACCUUUUUAAUUUGGACACCCUUCUACUCUUAUUUCCUCCUCUUGAGAAACUCAAGCAUUCACUAAUAUCAUCAAUCUUUAAAUAUUUCACCUUUGAAACUUCUUUAGAUCUCACAGUCGUUUGGACUUCAUUCAAAGUAAUAGUAUUUUCCUUAAUAUAACAAAGAUCACUCUUAAAGUACUCAAAGGAUCUGGGUAAUGAGCUCAAUAAGAGUAAAUCUUUGUCCUCAUAUUAAAACUUCACUUAAAUAUUCUCUAUAUAAUCAAUUAUCUUGUGAAAUUCAGUCAAUAGUUCCAUUAUGGAUUUGUUAUCUACCAUUCAUAAUGAGUAGUGUCGUUGUUUCAGACACAACUUGUGAGGAAAAUACUUGGUCAUAUACAAUAAUUCAAGUUUUUCCCAUAUCAAAGUUGCAGUCUUCUUCCUGACAACUUCCCUUCGAACUUCAUUCAUGAGGCCAGGAUAAUGACACUUAUGUCCUUAUCCACCAACCCGGUCUUCUCUGCGUGUGUUAGACGUGCAAGUAUCGAUACUCCGCCAAUCAAUGUUUCUGUACAUUUUUCUUGAAUUAAAAUUGCUUGCAUCUUCACUUUCCACAAUCCAAAAUCCUUCUCUCUAGAAAAUUUCUCAAUCUCUCAUUUAUCCAUUGUGCUCACAUGUAAAUAAUACACUUUUUCACCACGGUGGGUGCCACUUAUUGUGAAAACUUUGUAGAAUAACUCAAAACAAUUAAGAAUAAUUAUUUAAAGUUGAAACACAUCAUGAAAUUUUAUUUGUGGGGACAAAGUACAAUGACAGCCAAAAUAAAUGUCCUAAAGCAACAAAUAACUUGUCAAAAGUGAAAUAAAAACCACAACAAGCCAAAAGUAGAUCAAAGACAAGAACAAUGUAAUUUUAUUUACCUAGUUUGAUCAAGCAAUCUACUAUAGGGGAGAGAGAAGCUCUCUGAUUCAUUAUACUUCCAAAAUUUGUUAUAAAAUAUUACAAGGAAGCUACAAGAAAAAUACUUUUGAGUUGCCUCAUAGAGACAUAUAUUUAUAAAUGUUGAACCCCAACGAAGCCUUAAUAGGUCCAAAACAUGCCCCAUUAAUUGUUAGAAUUAAAGUAUUAUAAAUAUUUUAUAAUAUCUUUUAUAUUAAUUUAGAAUAUUAUAAAUAUCUUAGAAUAUCUUUUCUAUCAAUUUAGAAUAUUAUAAAUAUUUUAUUAUAUCUUUUAUAUUAAUUCAAAAUAUUAUAAAUAUUUUAUAAUAUCUUUUAUAUUAAUUUAGACUAUCUUAGAAUAUCUCUAAAGCAAUAUAAAAUAUUCUAACAUUAAUAAACUAAUCCAGAAACCGAAUAUACCAAAUCCGAUAUCCACGAAUCUCCUGGAGCAAAUUGCUUUUCGAUUUUUUUAUUUCUUGCAAUCUCGAAACAUGUUUUCGUUCUCUUAAUCACUUGAGGUUUUAAAACAUACUUCUACAAAGUGCGAAAGGUAGAACUCACCAAAAGUGAAAUUACAACAAACAAAAUUCAGAGGCAAAAGCAAACGAACACAUGGCAUCAAACGUUGAUGUACCCUACCCAACCUAACUAGUUAAACCACCAAAGAUUUAAGACAUGCAGAAAGUUUUUAUUUUUUUUAUGUUAGCCAACACCAACCCGUAACUUUGAUUUGAUAUAAAAUCUCUAAAAUCGAUAAUUCAGUCUCACCAGUUAACCUUUAAUUUAGUUAUUUCCAUAAUAUUCGAGCACUCCCCAACCAAUUUACAUGAAGGCAUUUGUGAGUCUCCUUUGAAUCUGAGAUAAGAUCGCAAACUAAAUAUGUGUGAAACAUUGUGUUAUUCGGAUAGGAACACCAAAUGUCCACCCACUUCAGAACAUUGUACCAUAUCCCCUAUAGAAAAAGCACUUGAAAUAUAGUGACUUGAACUUUUCUCACUUUUAUCAACCUCCCAAGCAUCUUAAAGAAUCAAUGUUAAUGAUCUCAUGUCGGUUCAAGUUGUGUUUCGUCGGAAGUCGGUUCUAUAAGAGUCUUCAUGCUGUAGCGGUGUAUUCGUUACCAUUGGAGAUAUUGACUAAAUCCAAGGUAAAUCAUACAAAGUCGAUUCGCCACCGCACUUCUAUUUAUCCAAAGGAAAGGUUAGAAAGCGAAUAAAAACCGAGAAGUUUUAUCAAAUCAAAAACUAAUAAAAAUGUUAGAGAUCUGGGUAAGGGGGUUGGUUAUGCAAUGGGAAGGUGUUAGGCACCCAAAGCAUCCUAGGUACUCCUAGGGAGCCCUUUUCAUGCUUGUUGCAAAGGUUAUUUGUUUGUGAAAAUUAUUUGUGCAAACAUGAUUGAAGAGAUGAGAAAAGAAUAUACAAGUUUAUUUACAUUUUAUGUUUGGAUGGAUAAACCCAUUGCCUACGUACCCUCUUAUAAAAAGAUUAGGAUAAAAACCUCGUAGUUCGGGUAAAAAAUUUCAAAAUAAAUGAGUGGAUUGAUUGGUCCAAAAGCCUUAAGGUCUUUUGUUAUCAAAGGGAGAAAACUCAACCUGAAAAACCACAAGUCCACCAUGUGAGAAUAGCUUCAACAUGCUAGUGAGGGGUUAACCCUAAGCCUUAAGGUCUUUUGUUAUCAAAGGGAGAAAACUCAACCUGAAAAACCACAAGUCCACCAUGUGAGAAUAGCUUCAACAUGCUAGUGAGGGGUUAACCCUAUAAUAAGCAUGGAAGGCUUACAAUCCAAUCACUACGGACAAAGGUGAGUAUUAUAUCUACCACAAAGAUAACUCAAACCUAAUAGCUAAAGGUUAUGAAAAAUUUGAUCAAGAACAUGGUCAUUGAAACCACAAAAGCACGUUUGAAUGGGUUACUGUAACACCUCAAAAUUUGCCCUCCUCUCUUGGGACUAGCUUAGCAUAUUGCAUUUCAUUUUGUAGGACAUUAGGCAUUACAUCUUUGCAUAUCAUGGAAACAAUAGGCAAGUCAUCCUCCUAGGUCUUUCUCAGAAGAUGGAGAGGGUAAGAGAUGCAAGCCUGAGGGUCUUGUUGGAUUGAUCACUAGCCAUCUGGGGGUUUGUGCUUCAAUUAGGGUUUCUUGGUUCCUCAAGGAGAUUGAUCAUUAUCUUGGUUGAAGUGGUACAUCAUCAUCAUCAUGGUCUUAUCAUCACCAAGAGGUUCAUUGUGCCUGAUCAUGUUCCUUGGGAUUAGGGUUUUGACCUCUGGUCAACCCUAAUCAGUUGCAUUGUGCCAAUCAGGGUUUUCUUCAAGGAGAUGAGGUCUUUGUUGAGAUGGAGAUCUCAUUAUGGUUUUAUUAGCUUGUAUAAGCCAGGGUUUCAUUUUGGAGCCAUUCAUCAAGAGAUUGAGGCUCAAAUUCAUCUGUGCAUGACCAGUCAUCUAUAACUGCAAAAGUCAACUGCAAAGUCAACUGUUGGAUUUGGAGGUGGGAAUUGAUUAGAAAUACUUCAUGCAUGUUCAAACAAGUCUCAUUUGACAUUUCAAACAUCAACAUUGAAGAAAAUAAAGUCAGGACAAAACUUUCCAAAAAUAGAAAGUGACCUGUAAUUUGAAAUUGCCAAAAAUGGAAAGGUUUUCAAUUCAAGAUUACAUCAUCAAGAAGGCUUCAAAUGAAAUUUUGUUAAACAUGAAAGUUGUAGAUCUUUCUCUCCCAUUUACAAAAAGUCCAAGAUCAUGGAUUUAUCAUGUAUGGUUGGAGAGAUAUGGAUCAAACAUGGCCAAGUGAACAUGGAACUUCAAAUGUGCAUAACUUCUUAACCAUAAGUCCAAAUCAAGUGGCUCUUUUUUGUACAUUCUUCUCUUGACCUAUACUUACCAAAUCAUGCAUUGCAUUUCAUGAAUUAUGAUCACAUGAAUAUUUGGUAUUUCACUUGAUUUUUGGAGGGAAAUCUUGAAAUUUAAAAUUGGUGAAUUAUUUGAGCAUUUUGUCAUUUCCAAUGAUUUUAAAAAUUCAUUUUAAGUGAAAUUAACUUGAACUCGUGUACUGUUCACAUGCCAUUUCCAUGCAUAAGGGUGAAAACCAAAAUUUGUCAAAACACCUCCAAACUUAAUCCAUUUCAUUAGCAUUUGGUUUAGGCAUAAUUAAUCAUGUUUAGCAUUGCAUAUAUAAAGGGUGAAAACCAAAAUUUGUCAAAACACCUCCAAACUUAAUCCAUUUCAUUAGCAUUUGGUUUAGGCAUAAUUAAUCAUGUUUAGCAUUGCAUAUAUAAGCUUAAUCAUAACAGAAUUCAUCACAUUUUCCCAAUUCUAGAUCUAGAAUUCUCAAAAUCUCAAAAUUCUCUCUCACUUUUUUCUUCAAAUAUCUUCAAUCAUUUGCACUUUUCCUUGAUCCAUUCAUGAUCCUGAGUCAUUACUGAGCAUUUUUGCACGUGGAAACAAAGGAAUUUGUUGCUAUUGAGUUCAUGUUUACUUCUUGAAGCUUCCAUGGCAGUUGAGGAUUUGGCUUGAUUCAAGAGUGUUUGAGCUUCCAAUUCAUCAGCAUUCAUCUUAAGGAGCACGUAGGAAGAAGAUUGAAGCAUCAAGAAGCCUAGAAACACGUGGAUCCAAGUGCUGCUCAUCGAGAGGUCAUUUUUUUUCACUUCCUUAAUUCUCAAAAUUGUUGAUAUAUUCUUGUAGUUCAUUGAAUGAUGAGUAAUCUGCACUUUGAAUCAAGAAAAAUGAUGUAAUAUCCAUGAAGUUACAUGCAAUUAAAGUUUCACACAUGAUUUUUGUUGUCUUCGAUUCAUGCAUGCCUUUGCGUUUAUUGUUGAAUUGUUUAUGGAUUCUCAUUAUGUGAUGGAAGAUCUACGUAAUGGUAUGCUUUUGGUUAGCUUCUGGAGCAUUUUAAGAAUUUCUGGAAAUUAGAUGAAGAACAUUCAUAGUGUUCUUCAUUGUGUUCAUGCAUUUCUAGUUUCUUGUGGAAUUUCCUGCGAAAUUUGUUGCAACAUUCAUACUGUUACCUGCGGAACGCAUAGGCGUUUCCUGCGGAUUUUUGAAUGAAUGCAUGGCGCGCGCUAGGGUUUGAUAGUGUGAAACGGUGACGUUUUUGGUUUGGCGCGCUUGCAUUCAAAUUGCACUUCAAUUCGAUUCCCCGUGGUUCCACUUAUUUCAAAUGCUUCAUCCUAUUUCCAUUUUCCCUCCACAUCAUUUAUGUAAUGGUUUCACAUGUUUUUUUAAAUUUUCUCCAACUCCAUAAAUUCAUAACUAAUUGAGUUUUGAUCCAAAAAUUAUGUGGAUUUUUGCAUUAUGUCAUAUUUUUUGUAUAGUUUUUUAUGAAUAUUAUUUUGCAAAUUGUGCAUGGCUGGUUUAUUUUUUGUGCUAGGGUUUGUGUAUACAUGUCCUUUCUUGACCUUGCCUUGCUUCUUCAUUUGUGAAAUGCUCAAUUUUAAUCCAAUGCUCAUGAAAUUUUGCAUGCUAUAACUAGACAUCUUGCUGGACAUUUUGGUGUUGAGUUUGCAUUUUUAUCAAUUGCAUGAAAUGCUCAAUUUUAAUCCAAUGCUCAUGAAAUUUUGCAUGCUAUAACUAGACAUCUUGCUGGACAUUUUGGUGUUGAGUUUGCAUUUUUAUCAAUUGCCAUUGCUGAUUUAUGAUUUUUCUAAGUUAGGUGUGACAAUUUGUGUCACACCUUGUGAGGUUCAACUUGAUUGAUGAAUUUGCCUUGCCAAAUGCACUUCAAUUGACAUGAUUUUUUGUAUGAUGUUUUAUAUGAAUGUUGUGAAUGUUAAUGAUUUUUCUUGGAAUUUUUGGAAUCAUUUCUGAUUUGUUUGAGAUUUUUCAUUCUGGAUGGUCAUGUGUGAGCUUUUGGAUUGCCUUGAUUUUCAUUCAUUCAUGAAAUGCUUGUUCUUUAUCCAAUGAAUGUGAAAUUUUGCACACUAAUUCUAGACAUGUUGAUUGGUGUUUUGGCUUUGGUUUGAGGUUUUUAUCAAUUAUCAUUUCUGUUUUAGGCUUGUGCUAAGUUGGUGUGCCAUUUGGUGUCACAUAUGUGCUUGAUUGUGCUUGCCUUGACUUAUGCAAUUUGAUUACCAUGCCUAAUGUUGUCCAAAUGCUCUAAUUUUUUGUGUGAUGAUCAUGUUGUAUGUUCUGUUUACUCAUGAAUUUUGCCAAAAUUAUUUGAAUCAUUUUUGAUUUAAUGUGCAUUUGUUCAUUCUGAUGUCACAAUGUGCUUACAACUUGCAUACCUUGCCAUGUUUGGUUUUGGUGAAUGAUAUUGACAUGAGACUUUUUGGAUGGUGUUCUUAAUUGAUUGAGGUUGAUUCAUGUUGAAUUUCGUGUUCUUUUUGGGAUUAUUUCUCCAUCUUUGACCCUAGGCCUUGACCUAGUGGUUUGUAACUCACAGUUGAGUUUUGAUUUCAGGUUAAGAAGCACAUUUCCAUAGUUGAUGAUGCUCACUCAUUUGGAUUGAUUAAUUGGUUGAUAUAGACUAACCUUGAGUUGUUUUUUAGGCUUUGAGACCAAGUGGCUCAUUGGCUUGUGCCUUGCUCAUUGUUGCAUUGCUUGCUUGUCUGUCUGAUUGUAUGAUUAACUAUCUGCUAGAUUGAUUGAAUUGUGUACUGAUGUGUUUGAUGUUUCCACAGGUACAUAAGUUGCUUAAGUUCUUUUUGAACUUGCCUUUGCUUUGCUUGGUUGCUUAACCAUUUGAGGUAUAACUCACUGACUUCAUGUAGUCUGGAAGACCUGUCUGUUACUUGGGCAGGCACCUGUCUGAAGCCCUCCUUAAGAGGCAAUACUUGUGUUUGUUUAUCAUUGUGCCAAGCAGGAAAAGACCUCUAUGAGGCAAUUGGCAGAUAAAAGAGAUGUGUAAUCCAUCUCCUGCUAUUCAGUGUGUCAUCUACCUUGCUCACACACCUUGUGUUGACGCAUUGUGGAUAUUAACCCAAGAUCUUUGUUGAGUCAGUCACAUGUGGAGAAGAGUUCCAACUUUCUGAACUCCCACACUUUCAUUUGUCUGAAGCUCUCCCAGGCCAGGGAUAAGAGUUGUGGGGUCUUACCCUCACUUCCCAUUUCAUUUGCUUCACCCUAACUCUCAAUGUUAGGAUUAAGAGCUAACUACACCCGAUUCUAGUUGGCUUGUGUUUCACAGCCUAACCUUGUAUGAGCCCAAUUGAUUGCAUAUAGUGUGUGCGAUUGUUUAUUGUGCUUGUGUUGUUUGACUGUGCUGAUUAGGAUAACUUGCUGCCUGUGCAAGUUAGAUAAAAACCUCAACCUAAGACCAUUGUGGAUUACAUGAUAACUAUUAGGCUCGAGUCAGUCUCCCUUCUAGUUUGUCAUUUCCCAGUCUCUGGUUAGGAGAAAGUUUCUCCCCUGUUAAGGGGAACUACGUUGCCCUGAUCCUCAUACGCAGAUGAGGUACGUAGGCAGGAGAUCGUACGAGAUCUCUCCGGGCACCCUUUUCCUUUUGUGUGUGUUUGCUUGACAGUUUUAGGCUCGAGUUCACGACUCCCUUUUAACUUGUUUGUUUGUACCUUCUCGUGUGUGUUAGGAGAUGGAUAUAAGACCAGCGAUUGGCAUUCCGUAUCCUAUGGUGUUUGUUGUGUGGAGUCCGGCGUAAGUCCAGCGUAUUGGCAGUCGGUUUCUGUGUGUGUUUGUUGUUCAGAGUUAUCUAGUCAGCGAUUGCAUUCUGGUUUCCAUGUUUGCCUGUUUGUGUGUGUUUUGUUUCGGCGUGCGUGAGCCGAACUACGGUAGCUCUGAUUCUCAUUCCAGAUGAGAUACGUAGGCAUAGGAUGCGAUAUCCUAGCGAGCCCGUUCCUCUAUUCCCCCACCUGUGUUGUUUCCAGUGUGUGUGUGCAUUCUUUUGAGCAGUGUUUUAGCAACCUUUCUUCUAUCCUUUUGAGCGUGGAUCCCGUCGAGUACGACGGAUGCGUAGGGGUGCUAAUACCUUCCCUUCGCAUAACCGACUCCCAAUCCCAUCUCUCUUUGGUCGCGAGACCAUGUCUUUUCCAGGUUUACUUUGAUCGUUUCCUUUCCCUCUUUUGGGAUAAAUAACGCACGGUGGCGGCUCUGUUUGUUUUGUUUUAGCCCGCCGGUUGUUUUUCGCGGAUGCGACAGUUACAUUAACCAAUUAGAAGUAUAUACAAAAAUGGUCAAAGUUGACAUUAAGAUUCAAUUCAAAAUGAGUAUUAUGAAAAGAAAGUUUUAAAAUCAAAAGCCUAAGGCUUAGGUUUCUAAUGUUGAAAACAAAAGUCAAAUGUUUGCACAAAAGGAUUUUGGUUUGGGUUAGAUGAAAAGGAAGGUAAGCAUGCAAGAGGUGAGGGAUAAACGACACUAGGAGUUCCUCUCUUGAGAUCAUAGAGAUGAUCCAAGUAAGUACCAUCCUUUGGAAUAAGCAAGCUCAAAGCAAAAGCAAUUAACAAGCCUCAUAAGAGAACCUCAAAUAAAAGGAAACAAGAUGCCAAUAAAUGGACUUACACCCGACUCCAAGGAAAUAGAAUGCCAAUAAAUGGACUUACAUCCAACUCCCAACAACAAAAAGGAAACAAAAUGCCAAUAUAUGGACUUACACCCGACUCCUAACAUAAAAAGCAUCAAAAGCAAACACAUCAAAGGUAAACAAGCAAGCACACACUAUAUGCGAACAAGAGGCUUCAAACAAGGGUGGGCUUUAGUCAAGAGGGGUCAUAUCAACCUCGACAAACAAGCCAAAACUGUACAAGGGUAAACAAUAGCUCUUAACCACUAACAUUGAGAGUUAGGGUGAAGCUGAUCAAAGAUGGAAAUGAGGAUGAGACCUCAUGCUCUUAACCCUGGCCUGGGUGAGCUUAUGACAAUGAAAGCGUGGGGAUCCAGAAAGAGGGACCCUAUUCCACUUUACAGAAUCUAAACAAAGAUCUUGGGUACAUGUUCUAGAGCAUCAGCACGUAGUGCGAACAUAAAGAACGACUCACUGAAUAACAGGGGAUUGGCUACUAAUCCCUUUUAUCUGUCAAUUGCCUCUUCACUUAGGAGGACUUAUCAAGUAACAUGCCUCAUCAUGGAGGUCUUUGGCACAAUCUGUAAACAAACACAAACAGAGCCUCUUAAGGAGGACUUGCCAGCAAAAUGCCUGCCAAAAAGGUGACAGGACUUCCAGACUACAUGAAGUAAGAGAAUAGCUACCUAAGUGGUGUAUCAACCACAAUCCAAAGCUCAAGAAAGAGCUAAAAGAAAGCAACUAAUGUACCUGUACAAAAGCUAAACAGUUAAUAUCUUAGACAACCAAUCAGAAAACAAACAGUGAAACCAUCCAACUGUUACACAAUUCAAUGUACAAUGGUCAAGCAAUCAAAUGAAGCAAUGAGCUCAACACAUCAACUCAAAUCCCUACAAAACACAAAGAAGUCAGAACACGAUCCAAUUUGCAUCUCAAAAGGUGAGCAACUCAACCAUUAAUGCUAAGUGUCCAAACCUGAAACACAAGUCAAGGUUAGCUCAUGUACAAAACACUAGUACAAAGACCAAGUUCAAAACCAAAUCAAAUGAUCAAAACAGAAACCAAUCUUUCACAUAUUGCACAUUCAAACAUUCAAUGAGAUGUCCUCAAAAGGACCAACAUCAAUUCACAAGGCAAGUGGCUCAAAUGAUCAAUGUAAAGCAAAGGCAAGCAAAUGAGCACAAGAUGAACAUCCAAAUUAGAAAAAUCCAAAUCAAAACAGAAAUGUAUGCAAUGGCUAUGAAAUUUUUUAUGUAAGUUUCUCAUGUUAUGAAUAAGCAUCAUGCAAAAAAUCAAAUCCAGAAGAGUUCAAAUGAUAGAUGAAUAAAAAUGCACAAAUUGAAUGCCAAAAAUAUGACACAAAUUGUCACAUACAUCUUCAUGUGUCAAAAAAUGAUGCUAGCAUAUGAGAAAAAAUUACAAAUCAGUGCUCAAAAAUCACAUCAUGAGAGAAGACCAAGCAUACAAAAAUUUAGAUCAAUUGGAUCAACACAUAGCAUUUCACAAAGCAUUGAACAUAGCAUAUCAAUUUGGCAUAAGGUUCAAUCAAAAAUUCACAAUUAAAAAUCCAGCAAACAACAAUUCAUGAAAAUAAUUCUAUAAAAAACUAGACAUUAAAACAAGACUAUGAAAAAAAAUUGGGAUCAAUUUGGAGCAUUUUUCAAUUUUUUAUGAUUUUUCAAAGAUGAGCAAAUAUUUGAACUAUGCAUGGAAAUAAUAGAGGGAAAUAAUAUUUCAAAUAAUACUCAGAAUAUUCCUAGCCAUUGGAUCAGGCGCGAAAAACAGAUCUACGGCUCAGAUUUGAAGCUCAAAAUGCGCAACUUCAUUAAUUGAGCUGGCGUGCACACUCAACAGUCAGCAAACACAUGGCACAUUCAAAGGAACAUACACCAAUCAAUCACACACGCAAUCAGCAUACAUGGCAGACACACAAGCUAAAUGAAACGCAUUGUUUCAUUAAUUACAUGGCAAUACACAUCAUCAGUCAACUGCUUGCAUGGUUCAGUUAAACGAAUUAGGACCAAUGGAAUGGACAUGCAAGGCAUCACGUGGAUCCAACAUGGACUAAAACCCUAACCGAACCAGACGGCGGAGCCGAUCAUCUUCUCCGGCCGUCUCCGGCGGAGUUCAACAUGAAAUUUUCCAGAAUUUGACAAAUUAUAUAUCAUUCGAACCAGCAUUCAACAUAGAAUCCAAAUAUCAUGCUCAAACAUCCUAAAUCAUCAUGAAUUCUCUGGAUCGAGCAAAAACAUAAUCAUGAGCAAAAAUUCCAGUUCAUCAUACAAGCUCAUUUCUCAGCCAAAUCAAGAUCUAAUCAUAUCAGCAUGCUCAGCUAGACAGGAUCUAUCAUUCUAUAUACAUGAAACAUCAAAAGGAGAGGAUCAAUUUUGGAUCACCUGAAUAGGAACGGUAGUGCUGAUUCGGUAGUGUUCAACUUUCAAAAGCUCCAGAUCAUCCUAUGCCUCUUGCCGUUGAAGCUUUAUGCACACGAAUCACUUGAAACACUUGAAUUCUCCUUAAAUUUCAAUUCGAUCUAGAUUGAAUAUGCUUCAUCUUGAACACUUGAAUUAUGACGGAAUUGCUUCAAUAAGGGAUGGAUCUUGCUCAGUGAAUGGCUCUGAUUCAAGAAUUGCAAGGUCUUAGAGUUGUGCAUGAGAAAAAUGAAAUUCAAGAACAGAAUAAUUGAGGAAAUGGAAUUUGAUCUGAAAUAUCUGCUUAUUCCUUGAAUUUAUGGUUAGCGUGGCAUUAAUAUAUCCCCUGUUAAUGACUUUGCUAAUCACACUUUCCAUGUAUUAAUCAAGAUUAGGGAAAUAUGGAUCAAUUUGCAAAAAUGCAAAAGUGAGGUAGCAUGGCCAUGUAGCACGUGAACAAUACUCAUGCAAGCCUUGAAUUCACUUAAAAUCAACCAAUAAUCAUGAUGGAAUUGGUAUUUUGCUUGUUCCAUGAGCCAAUUUUGAAUUAUGGAAUUUCCCUCCAUUUCGCACACUUGAGGAAUGAUGAGCAUACAAGCUUCUUCCAUGCAUGGCAAAGGCACAUUUGAGAAGUCUUCGUCAUGAGGAGUAUUUUGCAAAAAGAAUGGAUCAAAUUGGAGCUUUGCAUCAAAAGUUAUGUCACUUUGAACUUCCAUGUACACCUUGUGAUCAUAUGGCCAUAACUUCUCAACCAAUCAUCAUAUGAACAUGAUCUAGGACUUUUUGAAAAUGGGAGAGAAAGAUCUACAACUUUCAUGUUCACUAAAAAUCCAUUUGAAGCUUCUUUGAUGUUGGAAAGUCAAGUUGAAUGUGGACCAGAAACUUGCCAUUUUUGAAAACUUGAAAUUACAGGUCAUUUUCCAUUUUUGGAAACUUUUGCCAUGACUUCAAAAUAUUCAAGAUAGAUGUUUAGAAUGACAAAUGAACUUGGUUUGAACAUGAUUGAGGUGUUUAAAUUCAUCUCCCCAAUCCCAAAGUCCUCAGAUCUUGCAGUUGACUUUUGUGGUCCUUAGAUGACCUUGACAUGCUUUGAUGAACUUGAGCCUCUACCACUUGGGGAAAUAGCUCCAAAAUGCAACCCUAGAUCAUGUAAGCUCAUGUGAUAACCGUGUGAUUCUUCAUAUCAAGAAAACACCUCCUCUUUUACACCAAGGAUGCUCUUGAAGUGCUUUGACCUGAUGAUUGCUUCAGCUGCAAACAAAAAUGUUAAUGACAUAUUUUUGUACUUUUUGGUUAGUGAACAAAAAUGAGAAAAGCAAUGAUAUACAAUACAAGCAUUCCUGGUGAUCUCAAACCACUCACAAGGAGGUCCCACCCAAAGGGAAAGGAAGCCAAGAUACUCAAUGAUCCUCGAGGCAAUGCAAUGCAAUGCUAUGAUGCCAUGAGGGAUCUUAGGGACAAAAUUAGGGUCUUACAGAUGCCCCUAUUUAAGGUCAUUCUAGCCGGAGAAGUGAAGGUUAAAAUCUUCAUAUCGACGAGGUGGAAUGGGCUUAAAUAAUAACAAAGAGACAAAUUUUGGUCCCUAAGAGACCUCAUGAUGCAAAUGUAUAUAUGCAAAAACAAACAAACUCUGUGGGGGAUAUAUGUCGACAAAGAAGAAAAGACAAUCCAGAGAGAAGAUAAUCCACUAGAGUAAUACACUCACCAGGAAUAGAGACUCUAACGGGGACUCUAUGGGGAUAGAAAAGAAAUGCGUGAGCAGGUCACGACUUGAAACUGGGGAGUAAAGGACUGAAACUGCGUGAGCAGGUCACGACUCAAAACUGGGGAAUAGAGUUUCCAAAAGGGAAAUAAAUCCGAUGGAAAGACACAAACUGACUCAAAGUUGCGUGUAUUGGGGAAUAUGCCAACACAGCAAAAUUAUCCGUAACGGAUACUUCGGAUAAAAAUCCGGACUCAGGCUGGGGAAAGAUAAACAAAAACAUCUAUGUCAGGAAGAAUGAAUAUCUAAGACCGAUAUAAGGAUGAGAGAUAUCAAUCAACCAAAUCAUCUGAGGAAGACCUAAAAAUGUAUAUUUCAACUCAGGAAAAUCUGACUCCACAGGGGACCAAAGUCAUAAUAGGGAGCAGAAGGAAGGAACACCAGGGAUACCGGUUACUGGGUAUAUAAUAGGUGACCAACCAAAGUGUGAAUUGGGGUUUACUUCAAAAACACUCAUCAUCCAAAAAGGAGGGCUAAAAAAAGAAAACUCAACUUACAGGAUGGACAUCCGGUUCCGCAAAGGGAAAACGAAUCUUACUCGAAUGGGGAAGGACAAAAGGCUUCAACCAAAGAGCGCAUGAGAUAUAUUAUCUAUUACCGUCAGAACGUAGAUAAUAUACUCGCAUGGAAGAUUAUCCACAACCAGUUAGUGAGUUGAUAAAGGAUAAAUCGACCGAAACGUGAAUUGGUGUGUGUGCCAAAACACUCAUCAUCCUGAAGAGAGCAAAACGCAAACUUGUUUAUAGGAUGGACAUUCGACUCCACAAGGAAUACGAAUCUUACUCGACUGAGGAAGGACAAAACUUUGACCGAAGAGUGCAUGAGAUAUAUUAUCUAUUGCCGUCAAAACAUAGAUAAUAUACUCGCAUGGAAGAUUAUCCACAACUGGUUAGUGAGUUGAUAAAGGAUAAAUCGACCGAAACGUGAAUUGGUGUGUGUGCCAAAACACUCAUCAUCCUGAAGAGAGCAAAACGCAAACUUGUUUAUAAGAUGGACAUUCGAUUCCACAAGGAAUACGAAUCUUACUCGACUGAGGAAGGACAAAACUUCGACCGAAGAGUGCAUGAGAUAUAUUAUCUAUUGCCGUCAAAACGUAGAUAAUAUACUCGCAUGGAAGAUUAUCCACAACUAGUUAGUGAGUUGAUAAAGGAUAAAUCGACCGAAACGAAAGGACAUCGGGAUACCAGUUACUGGGUAUAUAAUGAUGACCGAUCAAAGGGGAGCAACAAACAUCACCGGCAAACGGUAAAUGAACGAGGACCCGCUGGGGAUAAAACUGCUUACUCAGAGAAAUUAUCCACAAGAAGGGGGAAGACCCGCUGGGGAUAAAAAUUGCUUACUCAGAGCAAUUAUCCAUAAGAAGGAGGGAAUAUCAAUACCGAAUACUGGAUAAUGAUAACCGUCAAAUAGGGGAUUACUUCUACCGAAUACUGGGUAGAAAACCACAGAAGAGUAACCGUCAUCAACUAGGAUGAGCAACAAUGGUUAACUCUGCAAAGGGGAGAGAGUAGGAUUUACAACUAUCGGAUACUGGGUAAAAAACCGCAGACUCUGAUGGGGAGAAAAUAGGGUUUACAACUACCGGUAUGAGGGUAGAAAACCACAAACUCGGCAUGGGGAAAAAAAGGUAGGGUUUACAACUACCGGUAUAAAGGUAGAAAACCACCAACUUAGCUGAGGAGAGAAAGAUCACUACUCCGCUGGGGAUAAGAUGAAUGAUUGUCGGUUAUUGAGCAAUUAUUCAUUUGUACCACAUGGAAGCACAAAAGACAGUCACAAAAGGCCAAUUUAGGAUCAAACCAAAAAGGAAAACUGAAUCAAAACUCAUCCUAAUGAGGAUAUAACUCAAUAGGGGAACCCAUCCCAAUAUAUGUGUUGGGAGGAAACGAAAACAACCGUCAUCCACGAGGAUAUAACUCAGUGGGGAAAUGGCAGGAAAGAUAAACACUUUCUGCUUAAGGGGCUGACUCUAUAUUGAGAGAUUAGACAUCCGACAUCUGAUUGGGGAAACAUAUACCACCAAAUAGCAGGGACCAACAAACAACGAUAUAUGGCAAAGAAUGCAACAUGAAUAUCUGAAUGUUAUGAUUAUGCAUGUAUAUGCGUGAUUUAUGUAUGAUGAAUGCUGACAAACAGAUAUAUCUGACACACAAAGGUCCAGGAAUCAAACACCCGGUACUACAUCUCAAGAGAGAAAGCCAGGAUCACCGGAGAAUAUCCAAUCUGCCGGGGAUCAGAGACAACAACACCAUCUGCAGGGAUGAAUCAUCAGUCUUAGCUGGGAAAAAGGGGCUCGCUGCACAGGCAGAAACUGCCACAAAAGCAACUCCAAGCAACUCCACUGGGGAAUCCACUUGAUGGAGAAAAGAUCGCACAAGUAGAAUCUGCCACACAAGCAACUCUAUUGGGGAUUAGAGAUAUCAGGAAAUCACCAAAUCUCUGCGGGGGAAUGAACAACAACCCUUCCAACUGUGAACCGGAUCAUGGCACAAACAAGUUCUGUUGGAGAAACCAACUCCUCCAGGGAACUUCAUCAAAAAAAAGGGUGAUGGAUCCUUGUGGGGAUACAACCACCAACCAGAAGCUCCCAAAGGUCAAACGAACCAAGAGCUCUCACCUGCUGAGGAGGAAGAAGGCUAAAAAACCUUUACCAUACACUCUGCUCGGGGGAAAAACACAAAAGGCUCCGAAGGAAACAUCAGUCACAGCCGGAGAAACGAGUUCAUUGUGCAGGUAGAAACUGCUACAAAAGCGACCCAUGCUGGGAGACCUAGAUACUAAAAAAUAACAGUAUCUCAGCGAGGGAUGACUCAUCACAGAUAAAAUCCACCAUACCAACAACUCUGAUGGGGAUUUAUCCGAGGAAACAGCAAUGUCCCAUGCAGGGGAUAACAUCAUCAUAGAUAAGAUCCAACACCAACAACUCCGCUGGGGAUCUAUCUGAGGAAAUGAAUGAAUUCUGGGGAUCAACCACCACAAACCGAACCUUCCAAAGAGGACACACCUGCCAAGGGGAAGAUCACUGCUCUUCUGCUAGGGGAGAGUGAUGGACAUCUCAACAAGCAUACCAUUCAGGGAUGAAGCAUUACGAAUAAAGUUCAUCACACCAAUAACCCUGCUGGGGAGUUUGUCUGAUGGAUAGAGGGAUUAUGGGGACCAACCCCCCAAAACAAAUCUUCCAGAGAGGACACAACUGUCGAGGAGUGAAGCUCACUGCUCUGCUGAAGGGAGAAGAGAUGAAUAAUCUCAACAAGCACUCUGCUUGGGGAUGAACCCAUAACAAAAUUUUGGGAGAAGAAGAUACAGUCAUGCCAAGGAUAUGAACAAAUGUCUUACCCUGUUGGGAAUCAUACAACCCUUGGGAGAGCACUGAGGAUCUCCUAAGUAUCUAUUCAUCAUUGGGAAUGUUCACUUUGUUAAAAAACAAUUUGUGAAAAAAUUUGUUUGUUUAAAACAAUGAUAUUUUCUCAAUUAAAAUAUGCAAAACAUUUGUUGAAUAGAAACAAAUAAGAGUGCAAAUAAUUGGAAAAAGGCUCAAAUUUAUUUGAUGGAAUGGUAGCCUGCGAAUGGCAAGACUCCAUAGAUUUUACAAAUUUGAAAUUGGUGAUAUAUAUUGGAAAAGGGCUACAUUGAACAUAAUGACCAUUUCUCCACCAAUUCCGAAUUCGAUGUAUUUGAAACUUCAGUUGACGAUGACUGAGCGAGAAUCCCUGAAGGAUGAUAGAUGUAGAACACAGUCUUGUCAGGAUGCAGUUACUUGUCAAAUCCCUAAUUUUUGCCUAGAUUGCCCCAGGAUGAGGUACUCAAUCUAGCGGGAUGCAAAUAUUCAUUUUUUUUCAUGUCUCUAACUUUUGCCUGGAUCGCCCUUUCGGGUUUUCAAUCCACCGAGANUGGCCUCCAUCAAGACUCUCAUUGAUGGGAUCUCCACCUCUACUGGGAGUACGGCCUCCAUGCCAUAAACAAGAGAGAAAGGGGUUGCCCCUGUUGAAGUGCGGACAGAUGUACGAUAUCCAUGCAACGCAAAUAGCAGCAUCUCAUGCCAAUCUUUGUACGUAACAACCAUUUUCUGGAUAAUCUUCUUGAUAUUCUUGUUAGCAGCUUCAACAGCCCCAUUCAUCUUGGGUCUGUAGGGAGAAGAAUUAUGGUGUGCAAUCUUGAACUCAUUACACAACUCCUUCAUCAUCUUGUUAUUCAGAUUAGAUCCAUUGUCAAUAAUGAUCUUAUCUGGCUCACCAUAGCGGCAUAUGAGUUGAUUUUUGAUAAACUUCACGACCACUUGCCUGGUCACGUUUGCAUAUCACACAGCUUCAACCCACUUGGUGAAGUAAUCAAUUGCUACGAGAAUAAACCUGUGUCCAUUGGACGCUUUCGGCUCAAUCAUGCCAAUCAUGUCAAUUCCCCACAUGGAGAAAGGCCAUGGUGAUGAAAUCACAUUUCAAAAGUGUUGGAGGAAUAUGAAUCUAUCCGCGUAAAUUUCUGACACUUAUGCCAUUUCCUCAGCAUAUUUGCAGCAAGUCAGACUCCAUUGUCAGCCAAUAAAAGUUAUAGGCCUGCUCUCAACAUCUUUCUAGCCAUGGGCAUGUCCAUUGGAAUGAGUACCAAAUGAACCCUCAUGGACCUCAGUCAUCAACAGGUCUGCUUCGUGUCUAUCCACGCAUCUGAGCAGAACCAUGUCAAAAUUUCUCUUAUAAAGCACUUCUCUAUUGAGGUAGAAACUGCCUGACAAUCUUCUCAAAGUUUUCCUAUCUUUCACAGAUGCCCCAGGCGGGUAAACCUGGUUCUGGAGGAAACACUUGAUGUCAUAAUACCAAGGCUUGUCAUCAUUCGCUUCUUCUACUGCAAAUAUAUAAGUUGGUCUAUCCAAGCGCAUCACGGUGAUAUUGGGAACUUCAUUCCAAUAUUUCACCACAAUCAUGGAAGCAAGCAUAGCAAGAGCAUCUGCCAUCCGAUUAUCAUCUCGAGGAAUAUGAUGAAAGUAAACCUCAGUAAAGAACGUUGAAAUCCUCCUCGCAUAAUCUCUAUAUGGAAUGAGACCAGGCUGAUUCGUUUCCCAUUCACCCUUAAUCUGAUUAACAACGAGGGCCGAAUCACCGUAUACAUCAAGAUGUUUGAUCCUUAGAUCAAUGCAUUCUUCCAAUCCCAUAAUACAGGCUUCAUACUCAGCCAUAUUAUUCGUGCAUUUGAAAGUUAGCCUUGCUGUAAAAGGAAUAUGUGUGCCCUGAGGAGUAAUGAUUACCUCCCCAAUACCAUUUCCGUAUUGAUUUACAGCGUCAUCAAAUACCAUACUCCAUCUGGAACCAGGCUCUGGCCCUUCAUCGAGUGUAGGCUCAUCACAAUCUUUCAUCUUCAAAUACAGAAUCUCCUCAUCUGGGAAGUCGUACUGAACAAACUGGUGAUCUUCAAUCGGCUGAUGUGCCAAGUGGUCAGCCAAGAUACUACCUUUAAUAGCCUUCUGAGCUCGAUACUCAAUAUCAUACUCAGAUAACAACAUCUGCCAACGGGAAAUCCUCCCGGUUAAAGCAGGCUUCUCGAAGAUGUUACUUUGAUUGGUCCCAUUUUGGAUAUCAACCCAAGUCGUGAUGAUUUAUCAUAUACUGGCGUAAACGCUUAGCAGCCCAAGCUCAAGCACAACAUGUCUUAUCAAGCAUUUGAGUAUCUGAGACUCAACAUCAUGAAACUUCUUACUCAGGUAGUAGAUAACAGAUCUUUCUUCCCUGAUUCAUUCUUGUGACCAAGGGAUGCAACCAUCUUAGUCUUGCAAGACUGUCAGAUACAAUGAUCAAAGGUCUUUCCUUCUACAGGCGGAGACAGGAUUGGAGGUUCAGACAGAUACUCUUUGAUACUAUCGAAAGCUUUCUGGCAAUCCUCGGUCCAAUCAUGGGACUGAUCUUUCCGGAGGAGCUUGAAUAUCGGCGCACAUGUAGCAGUCAUGUGGGAUAUAAAUCUGGAAAUGUAAUUCAAGCGACCAAGAAAACCUCAGACUAGCUUCUCAGUUUUGGGCGCAGGCAUCUCUCGUAUUGCUUUGACCUUUGCAGGAUCAACCUCAAUACCUCUUUCGCUGACAACAAAGCCCAAUAACUUUCCAGAACGGACUCCAAAUGUACACUUGUUGGGAUUCAGACGAAGCUUGAACUUCCUCAAACGCUGAAAAAGCUUCAACAAAUGUCCUAUAUGUUCAACUUCCGUUCUUGACUUAGCAAUCAUAUCAUCAACAUAUACCUCGAUCUCCUUGUGCAUCAUAUCAUGGAACAAGGUAGUCAUAGCUCGUUGAUACGUGGCUCCGGCGUUCUUCAAACCGAUUCAAACCGAAGGGCAUCACUCGAUAACAGAAUGUUCCCCAAGGUGUGAUGAAUGUUGUCUUCUCCAUAUCCUCGGGUGCCAUCUUAAUUUGAUUAUAUCUGGAAAAUCCGUCCAUAAAUGAGAAGAUAUUGAAUUUAGUUGUAUUGUCUACCAACAUAUCAAUGUGUGGUAGAGGGAAAUCAUCUUUCGGACUAGCUUUAUUCAAAUCUCUGUAAUCUACACACAUACGGACUUUUCCGUCUUUCUUAGGCACGGGCACAAUAUUGGCCACCCAUUGAGGAUAUGUAGAAGUCACCAGAAACCCCGCAUCAAUUUGCUUCUGCACUUCUUCUUUGAUCUUCACUGCCAUAUCAGGAUGAGUUCUUCUGAGCUUCUGCUUCAGAGGCACGCACUCAGGCUUCAAAGGCAGGAAAUGUUGUACAAUAUCUAUAUCUAGACCCGGCAUGUCUUCAUACGACCAAGCAAAGAUAUCAGCAUAUUCUCGUAGCAAUUCAAUCAACCCCUUCUUAACAGAUUCUUCCAUGAGUGCCCCAAUCUUCACUUCUCGAACACAAUCCUCAGACCCCAAGUUGACUGUUUCCAGAUUCUCAAGAUGCGGCUGAAUGAUCUUCUUUUCAUGCUCAAGUAGACGGGUAAUCUCGUCAUGAAUCUCUUCAACAUCAUCUUCCUCUGCCUCAAAUACAGGGAAUUCAAAAUUGGGAGAUAGCGUUGGAUCAUUAUGUUCAAUGGGUUUAGUAAUCAACCUGCAUAAUGAUUUUGGAUAUGAAAAGCUUUUUAGAAAUCAAACAAUGCAAUCAUUAUGCAGAUGAAAAGAUUGAUUUUAUUCUUGUUUUUAGGGUUUUUUGUGAUCACCAAUUUCAUGCAAAAAGCAAAAAGGGAAAAUAAUUGGAAAAACAAACAUUUAACAUGAAUUUAUUGAAUGAAAAUAUCAUUGUAUUUAUGAUGCCAACAAUGUCAUCACUUCUCCUUUUGGCAUGGGAGAAGGGUUUUUUAAACAAAGUGAGCAUUACUCUGACUUGAGGAUAACUGUAGGAACAUCCACAGCGAUCCAAUUGUUGCAGACCCCACCAAGGAUAACAAAAUUGUCAGAAUCCUCUGCAUCCUCUUCCAAGAUAGCAGCAGCUUCUUCAUCCUGGCCGGUGUGGAUAAAACCUCCACUCUUGAAUAGCCCUUUCUCAUUGAAGACCCUAGAAGAAAAGCCAAUGCCAGCCCGGGACUUAUUGUCUUCCAUCUCAAUCAUUUUUCCUAGACCAGCAAUUGCACCACAUUCAAUGGCCAAUUUCACAUCUCGAUAGGAAGCAAAUGAAGGAGUUCUCUUCUCAACAGCUUCAGCUAUAGAUAAAGCUUGGAAAGGAGUUCCAACUUCAUCCUCAGCAUCUAUGUAUGAGAAGGAAGACAAGUGGCUAACCAGGAGAGCCUUUUCUCCCCCUACUGUAGCACCUCAAAUUUGCACCUCCCAUUUUGUAUAUACAUUUUCAUUUUAGGUCAUUAACAUUGCAUUGUCCAUUGCAUAGUCCAUCAAGUCAUCAGUCAAGACUGGUCAGGAGAUUCAGUUGUGCAAGCAAGCAAGUGCAUUUUCUAUGGCAUCAAAGACCUAGGGUUGGUUCAAUGUGUUCAUGUGACCUAGGGAUCAUUUUGAAGUGGUUUGGUCAAGCAUUGAAGGUUCAAAGCUCAUCAGUCAAUGAUCAAUUCAUCUGAAACCCUAGAAAGUCAACCAAAGUCAACUGUCAGUUCAACCAUGGAUUUGAAGGUGGGAGAUGGUUAGAGAUGCCUCAUUCAUGUCCAUACAAGUCUCAUUUGACAUUUCAAACAUCAACAAUGAAGAAUUUGAGGUCAGAUGAAAAGUUUCCAAAAAUAGUAAGUGACCUGUAAUUUGAAACUGCCAAAAAUGGAAAGGUUUUCUCCUCAAGAUUACAUCAUCAAGAAAGCUUCAAAUGAAAUUUUGUCCAACAUGAAAGUUGAAGAUAUUGCUCUCCCAUUUCCAAAAAGUCCAAGAUCAUGAAUUUCUCAUGUAUGGUUGAAAAGAUAUGGAUCAAUCAUGGCCAAGUGAAUUUGAAUUUCAAACAUGCAUAACUUUCAAACCAAAUGUCCAAAUGAAGUGGUUCUUUUUACAACAUUUUUCUCUUAAUCUCUACUAUCCAAAACAUGCAUCACAUGCCAUGCAUUCUCAUCACAUAAUUUUUUGGUUUUUCAUUUGAAUUUUGGAGGGAAUUUUCAAAUUCAAAAAUAAUGCAUUGUUCUCACAUUUUAACACUUGCAUUGGCUCCAAAAUAACAUUUUCAAGUGAAUCCAAUCCAAAAACGUGCACUGUUCCAUUGGUUUGCAUGCAUAAGGGUGAAAUUGCAAAUUUGCCAAAACACUCUAUUCUCACUAAUCCACUUACCAUUGGCUUAAUUGUGAUUAACAACUUGAUUAGGAGGGAGUAUAAAGGGCUAAGCAUAACAGAUUUUCUGAUAACAAUAAUCACUUUUUCAGAUCUAGAAAAAACACUCCAAAUUUUCCUCUCAAACUUUCUUGCAUUUUCUUCGCAUAACAUCCAUUCAUCUUGCUUAAUUCUUGUUGCUGAGGUGUUUUUGAGCAGGAUUACAUGUGGAAUCGAAGCCAAUAGUGCAGGAUCAAAGCAUUCUUCAAGCUUNGAGUUUGUAUUUUUACCAUUUGUGGUUGCUGUUUUAUGCUCAUGUGAAUGUAGGUGUGACAAUGUGUGUCACACCUUUGCUUGUCCAACUUGAUUAAUUGAUUUGCCAUGCCAAAUGAAUUCCAAUUGAUGUGAUUUUUUGUAUGAUGCUUCUUAUGGAUGUUGUGAAUGCUCAUGAUUUUUUGUGGAAUUUUUGGAUUAAUUUAUGAUUUGAUUAAUAUUUUCCUUUCUGGAUAGUCAUGUUUGGGCUUUUGAAUUGUCUUGAUUUUCAUUUGUUUGUGAAAUGCUUGUGCUUUAUCCUAUGAAUGUGAAAUUUUGCACAUUGUUUAUAGACAUGUUGAAGUUUGUUUUGGCUUUGGAUUGAGGUCUUUAUCAUGUUUCAUUUCUGUUUUAGGCUUGUGCUAAUUUGAUGUGCCAAGUUGUGUCCUAUUUGAGCUUGUUUUGAUUGCCUUGCCUUAUGCCAUUUGAUUACCAUGCUUAAUCAUGUCCAAUUGCCCUAAUUUUCUGUGUGAUGAUCAUGUUGUAUGUUCUGUUCACCCAUGAAUUUUCUCAAGAUUAUUUGAAUCAUUUUUGAAUUAAUGUGCAUUUGUUCAUGCUGUUGUCUCAAUGUACUUUCAAUUGGCAUACCUUGCCAUGAUUGGUUUAUGAAAUGAAUUUGGUUGAUGCUAUUGACAUGAGACCUUUUAGAUUGUGUUCUUAAUUGAUUAAGGUUGAUUCAUGUCAAUUUGCAUGUUCUGUUUUGGAUUUUUCCUCCAUCUUUGACCCUAGGCCUUGACCUAGUGCUUUGUUGCUUAUGUUUGAGCUGUGAUUUCAGGUUAAAGAAGCACAUUGCCUUAAGUGAAGUGGUUCACUCAUUUGGAUGGAUUAUUUGGUUGAUGUUGACUAAUCUUGACUUGUUUUGUAGGUUGAUGUUAGCUCAUUUGAGUUUGAGCUUGUGCCUUGCACAUUGUUGCAUUGCUUGUUUGACUAUGUCUGUGGACUGUUGAUAAUUGGUUGUCUAUUUGGUUUAUUUGAGUUGUAUACUGAUUGAGUUGGAUUUUUCAGGUACAUUAGUUGCUUAAGUUCUUUUGAACUUGCUUUUGCUUUGUUUGGUUGCUUAACCAUUUGAGGUAUAACUCACUGACUUCAUGUAGUCUGGAAGACCUGUCCUGUUACUUGGGCAGGCACCUGUCUGAAGCCCUCCUUAAGAGGCAAUGCUUGUGUUUGUUUAUCUUUGUGCCAAGCAGGAAAAGAGCUCUAUGAGGCAAUUGGCGGAUAAAAGAGAUGUGCAAUCNNNNNNNNNNNNNNNNNNNNNNNNNNNNNNNNNNNNNNNNNNNNNNNNNNNNNNNNNNNNNNNNNNNNNNNNNNNNNNNNNNNNNNNNNNNNNNNNNNNNNNNNNNNNNNNNNNNNNNNNNNNNNNNNNNNNNNNNNNNNNNNNNNNNNNNNNNNNNNNNNNNNNNNNNNNNNNNNNNNNNNNNNNNNNNNNNNNNNNNNNNNNNNNNNNNNNNNNNNNNNNNNNNNNNNNNNNNNNNNNNNNNNNNNNNNNNNNNNNNNNNNNNNNNNNNNNNNNNNNNNNNNNNNNNNNNNNNNNNNNNNNNNNNNNNNNNNNNNNNNNNNNNNNNNNNNNNNNNNNNNNNNNNNNNNNNNNNNNNNNNNNNNNNNNNNNNNNNNNNNNNNNNNNNNNNNNNNNNNNNNNNNNNNNNNNNNNNNNNNNNNNNNNNNNNNNNNNNNNNNNNNNNNNNNNNNNNNNNNNNNNNNNNNNNNNNNNNNNNNNNNNNNNNNNNNNNNNNNNNNNNNNNNNNNNNNNNNNNNNNNNNNNNNNNNNNNNNNNNNNNNNNNNNNNNNNNNNNNNNNNNNNNNNNNNNNNNNNNNNNNNNNNNNNNNNNNNNNNNNNNNNNNNNNNNNNNNNNNNNNNNNNNNNNNNNNNNNNNNNNNNNNNNNNNNNNNNNNNNNNNNNNNNNNNNNNNNNNNNNNNNNNNNNNNNNNNNNNNNNNNNNNNNNNNNNNNNNNNNNNNNNNNUCAGUGUGUCAUUCACUUUGCUCACACACCUUGUGUUGAUGCAUUGUGGAUAUUAACCCAAGAUCUUUGUUGUGUCAGUCAUAUGUGGAGAAGAGUUCCAACUUUCUGAACUCCCACACUUUCAUUUGUCUGAAGCUCUCCCAGGCCAGGGAUAAGAGCUGUGAGGUCUUACCCUCACUUCCCAUUUCAUCUGCUUCACCCUAACUCUCAAUGUUAGGGUUAAGAGCUAAUUACACCCGAUUCCAGUUGGCUUGUGUUUCACAGCCUAACCUUGUGUGAGCCCGCUUUGUUUGUAUAUAGUGUAUGCUAUUGGUGUGAAUGAUUGCUUUGCCUGUGCUGUUUAGGAUAGCUUGCUCCCUGUGCAAGUUAGAUAGCAACCUUAACAUAGGGAUCGUAUGCAUGAUAACUUCUAGGCUCGAUUCGUAGUCUCCCUAGUAGUUUGUGUCUCCCUUUGUAUCUGGUUAGGCUAGUCCUUUUUCCCCGCGUAGGGGAACUACGUCGCCCUGAUCCUCAUACCAGAUGAGGUACGUAGGCAGGAGAUGAGCUGAUCUCUCCGAGCGCCCUUUUCUUUUUCAACCCCUUUGUGUGUGUUGGAGUCUGACAUAAGUCCAGCGAUUGGCAGUUGGUUUCCCGUGUCUUGUUUGCUUGUUGGAGUCUGACGUAAGUCCAGCGAUUGGCAGUUGGUUUCCUGUGUGUGGGUUUGUCAGUUUGGAGUCUGAUGUAAGUCCAGUGAUUGGCAUUCGGUUUCCAGGUUUGCCUGUUUGUGUGGAGUUUGACGUAAGUCCAGCGAUUGGCAGUCGGUUUCCUUUGUUGUUUUGUUUGGCGUGCGUUAGCCGAGCUACGAGUGCUCUGAUUCUUCUCUGGUUAGAGAAGAUACGUAUGCAUAGGAUGCGACAUCCUAGCGAGCACGUUUCCCCUUGUCCCGAACUACGUCGACUCUGAUGUCUGUGCCUGACAGACUAUGUAGGCCCAGGAUGCGAUAUCCUGCCGAGUUAGUUUCUUUUGUCGUUUCUGUGUCUCUUUACAGCCUUGUGUGAUGUUUGAGCAGUUUCUAGCAACCUUUAUCCUUCCUUUUGUGCUUGGAUCCCGUCGAGUACGACGGAUGCGUCGGGGUGCUAAUACCUUCCCUUCGCAUAACCGACUCCCGAUCCCAUCUCUCUUUGGUCGCGAGACCAUGUCCUUUCCAGGUUUACUUCGAGCGUUUCCUUUCCCUCUUUUGGGAUAAAUAACACACGGUGGCGACUCUGUUGUUUCUUUUUCCUGCCGGUUUUUCACGUAAUGCGACAGCUGGCGACUCUGCUGGGGAAUAGAGAGAAGUUGACCUCUUGCUGGUCCAUCUUCCCUAGGAGAGUCUCUCCUAGCGCUCUCUAGGAUAGGGUUUGGUUGCUUUUGCUGUUUCAUUUAUUGCAUUCAUCUAUUUAUUGUUUGCAUUAAUGUUUGCAUUUAUGUUUGCAUUCAUUCAUAUUCAUUUGUUCAUCUGGCUUUGCUGUGUUGUCUCUCUGUUGGGGUGGGAGUUACAUGAGGUAAAAGGCCCAAUACCCAGGCUAUGAGUGAAAUCUAGGAUACCUAGGAAUAGAGUGAUUCAUGGGAAGCGGGUGGUAUUGCGCCACUUAGCGGAACAUUGAUAUCACGAGCAGUUCAGACUCUGAUGGUAUUAUCGUUACAUAAUUCGGUGUGUUUAUGAUGGUUUCUAUGAAGGGUUAUUUAUGUUGCGUUUCUCUCGACCUUACCCUGGCCUAGAUGACACCCGUGAGUGGGGAGGGAAUGAUCAUUAUUACAGGUACAGUUGGUGACUUGUCGGUGACUUGUUGGUGACUUGUGAUCCUGUUGGUGACUCUUGACUCUACAAAAUUGAUGGGGUUUCAGAUGAAUUUGUGGUUCCGAGUUCAAGCCGAACCUUUGAUCCUGUGUUCUGAGAUGCACAGCCUGCCAGUCUUGUCUGCAUCAUUUGCAUCAUAGCAUGUUUAUUUCAAAAAAAUAUGCAACAAAAAAUUGAAAAAAAAGAAAAAAGAAAAGAAACUAACCUCUGCAUGCAUAUCAUUUCUCAGGUUCAUUCAGGAGUUCGAUUCACUGAUAGAGAUGGCAACAGUUCCAGAGUUGAAGCGGAAGACUUGUUCCUACAGCUUUCACCGUGAGCCUUUGACAUCGUUGAUAGAGUUGAGCAACCUUGUGACCAGUGGUAAUCAGAAGGGGUUUGUUGAUCAGUAUGGUGAUAUUCUGACACUGCUGAAGAUGGUAGUUGAUCCAGUGCCGUUGCAGACUCUUCUACAGUUCUACGACCCAGAGCUGCGUUGCUUCACCUUUCAGGAUUAUCAGUUGGCGCCUACUCUUGAGGAGUACUCCAUUCUGUUAAGCGUCCCGAUUCAGCAUCAGGUUCCUUUCUUGGAUGUGCCUAAGGAGGUUGAUUUCAGAGUUGUUGCUAGAGCUCUCCAUUUGGGUAUCAAAGAAGUCAGUGAUAAUUGGAAGUCCAGUGGGGAUGUUGUAGGGUUGCCUUUGAAGUCCCUGUUGAGGAUUGCCAGAGAAGAAGCAGAGAAGGGAAAUUGGGAGGCUUUUCAUGACCAGUUGGCCAUCAUGAUCUAUGGGAUUAUCCUGUUCCCGAGUAUGCCCAACUUUGUGGACUAUGCUGCAGUCAUUAUCUUUCUCGGAGGAAACCCGGUUCCUACUUUGUUAGCUGACACUUACUAUGCUAUUCACAGUAGGCAUGGUAAGGGUGGAGCUAUCAGAUGUUGCCUUCUGUUGUUGCUCAGAUGGUUCUUGUCUCUCCUGCCAGUCAGUGGACCCUUUGUGGAUGCUCAGAGCACUCAUAAGUGGACUCAGAGGGUUAUGUCUCUUACUUCAUAUGAUAUCAGAUGGCAGUCUUAUCGGAUGGAUGUGCGGGAUGUUAUCAUGAGUUGUGGAGAGUUCCGGAAUGUGCCACUUGUGGGGAUUAAGGGUUGCAUCAAUUACAACCCGGUUCUUUCUCUGCGCCAGUUGGGGUUUGUGAUGAGUAGAAAACCACUUGACGCUGAGAUAGUUGAGAGUGUGUACUUUGAGAAGCGAAGUGACCCUGUUAGCUUGGAGCGAGUGGGAAGAGCUUGGAAGUCCAUUGGUGUUAAGGAUGGAUUUGUUCUAGGGAAGAAGUUUGCCAUUGCUAUGCCUGACUACACUGAGUGGGUCAGGAAGAGAGUGGAGACUUUGUUGCUGCCCUAUGAUAGGAUGAAUCCUUUGCAAGUGCAACCACAUUUGAUCCUUGCUGAGAGUGUACCUGCUGAGCAGUACAAGCAAACCCUGAUGGAGAAUCGCAGGUUGAAAGAGAAAGAGCAAGACACUCAGAUGGAGUUGUACAAAGCCAAAGCUGAUAGGUUGAAUCUGACUCAUCAACUCAGAGAUAUUCAGAAUGUGGAUGUUGGUGGAGUAAAGAGCAAGAAGAGAUCCUAUGAAGAGAUGGAGAAUUUGCUGAAUGCAGAACACCGGGAAUGCCUAAGGUUGCAGAGAGUUGAAGCCAGUUACCAGAAGAAGAUCAGGGACUUGGAGAAGCAACUCAGAGACAAAGACAUCCAGUUGAAGAAGGAAGUUGACUUGAGACGUACAUCAGAGAACCAACUUGGAGGAGAAGUUGUGGAGCUUAGAAGACAGUUGAAGGAGAAGCUCACUCCCUUGCCAGAAUGUUCAGAGUGUGACCUGUUGAUAGACUAGUGUCACUACUUAAAGACUCUCGUUCCUGGAAACCAUUUGUCUUAGCUUGUAUUUCUGAUGUUUAUGUUGAGAAUCACCUCCAGGUUUGUUGGAUGGGAUUCGUUGUUGUACUUUGAUUCUGUUGGAUCUUUGAAUCUUUGUUGUAUGAUCCUGUUGCUCAUAUCUAUGUAUGAGGUUGUUGGGGUUUCACCUUGUACUCAUUACUCUUGUGUAUGUUGAUCCUGUGCUUCUGUGUGGCUCUUGUUGCAGGUUGCCAUCUUUCGAAGAUGAAUUAGGCUCUUUGAAUGCCUGAGAAAUGAACAUAUCAUGUGCAUCAUAUGCAUUAGCAUCAUACCCAUAUCAUUUUGCAUAACAGGUGUUCUUGUCCGCGACUUCUCACUCUGGUUCCUGUGUCAGGCAGGAUAGCUGAUCAAAGACCACAUCGCUACUCAACCAGACUUAAUCAUCAGAGGAAUAUGGACCAAGUUCAGACAGAAUUGGCUGAGAUGAGGGCAAACAUGGCCCAGUUUAUGACUAUGAUGCAAGGGGUUGCGCAAGGUCAAGAAGAACUUCGAGCCGUGGUUCAGAGACAGGAAGCCGUGAUUCCGCCGUCUAACCGUGCUUCACCGGUGGGUGUACCCGUUCAUGAGAAUGUUGCUGCUGCUCCCGUCAACGACUACGCUGUGGGUGAUGAGUUAAGGGGUAUCAGAAUUAACGGACAACCUCUUGCUGCAGAGACUGUUAAUGCCAGAGCUACCCGGGCUCCGAUUCGUCAUCCUGCUCCGAUUGUUGAUAGACAAGAGGAUAUGUUCACUCUGCUUAGUGAGGACGAUGAGGUUGUUGGAAGAGUCGAGGAGAGGGACCGUAAGGUGGAUGCCCUUGCUGAGAAAAUCCGAGCUAUGGAAUGUCAGAACUCCCUUGGGUUUGAUGUGACCAAUAUGGGUUUGGUUGAAGGGUUGAGAAUUCCCUACAAAUUCAAGGCACCCUCGUUUGAUAAAUACAAUGGCACUUCUUGCCCUCGCACCCAUGUGCAGGCAUAUUAUCGGAAAAUCUCUGCUUACACAGAUGACGAGAAAAUGUGGAUAUAUUUCUUCCAGGAUAGCUUGUCUGGAGCUUCCUUGGAUUGGUACAUGGAGCUGAAGAGAGAUUCAAUCCGAUGCUGGAGGGAUUUGGGUGAAGCCUUCUUGAGGCAGUACAAACAUAAUAUGGACAUGGCGCCGAGCCGGACUCAGUUGCAGAGUCUAUGUCAGAAAUCUGGUGAAAGCUUCAAGGAGUACGCCCAGAGGUGGCGUGAAUUG